rnacentral:lncRNA from 1 species
UUCCGGUGGAACGUAACCUGGUGUACCCGCGAGCGUGCUCACGCUCAGAUGCGUGUCUAGAGCGCUGACCAGCCUCGCCAUUCCGAAAUCCGAAACACGUGCUUCGAAAUCUUCGUCCAGAAGAACAUUGCUUGAUUUCAUGUCUCUGUGGAUAAUGUGAGGAAUGCAGCUAUGGUGCAAAAACGCUAGCCCUCUUGCAGCUCCAAUCGCGAUCUUCUUCCUUGCGGCCCAAUUCAGAUAUAUUCCGCCUUUCUUCGAUGAUUUCUCGUGAAGAACGGUUUCUAAGCUUCCCCAUUUCAUGUAUUCGUAGACAAGAAGCCUCUCUUCACCAACCUUGCAAUAUCCCAAAAGUGGAACAAGGUUUCUGUGUUUGAUUUUUCCGAUUGUUUCCAUCUCAGCCAUGAACUCUCUGUCGCCUUGUCCCGUGAUUCGAAUCAACUUCUUGAUCGCUACAACAGAUCCGUCUCUGAGUUGGGCCUUGUAUACUUCUCCAAACCCACCAGACCCGACCAUAGUCUCUGCGCUAAACCCGUUUGUAGCUUCAAGAAGAUGAGCGAAAGUGAGUUUUCUCAGCGGUUUCUCGAAUGUAGCAACGUUGAUGCUAAGCGGUUCAGGAACGCUAGAGAGCUUCCAGCUGCAGCUUCCGGAAGUUGGAAGGCUCUCAAUGUAUUUCUCCCUCUUCUGUUCCUUCUUCUGAACUUUCCUCACCCUGUAAAGCGCCAUGACUAGCAUCACAAAGCACAUGAAAGAAAACGCAAUUCCAGCGAUCACAGCGGUUGCAACAGUUUGCUUCUUGGCAUGGAUACGGGAGGUAAUGGGCCGUCGAGGAGCUGAACCGCAGGGACGCAAAGGAACACCACAGAGGCCUGAGUUGUUUGCGUAUCUCGAGACAGGGAACGUUGUAAGCUGACCUCCAAAUGGGAUUGGACCAGUAAGGUUGUUGUUAGAGACAUCAAGAUCACUGAGGAAAGAAAGCGACCCCAGCGACCCGGGUAAGUACCCUUGAAGAUUGUUGUGAGAUAGAUCGAGAACACCAAUCGCUUUCAAUCCUCCAAAACUGUCCGGGAUGGUUCCGGUUAUCCGGUUAUGUCCCAAAUUCAAGACCUGGAGAUAGCCCAUGUUACCAUAACCAGGAGGUAUAAAACCUGAAACAGCAUUAUACGAGAUGUCGAAAUAGAUCAUGCUUCCAUUUGCUGAGAAUGUGUACAUUGUCAUGCCUGAGUAUAUCCGUGUCGCGGGACACGAAUGAACCAUUGGUAGCCGCUCUAAUCGUUCAGCACGAAUGCCUUCAAACUCUACUAACCCACCUGCACCUCUGCAGUCUGUUCCACCUUCGUUUCUCACAAACGCAAACUGUUUACCUGAAACGCUCCCAGGCAUUACUAACCCGGCUUGGCUAGCUAGCUCACCCGGGAGGUCCCCGGUUAGAUUGUUGCUGUUCAGAUCAAGCCAGAUCAGACUCUUGCAGUUCCCAAGCUGGCGAGGAACGUUCCCGGACAGAGAGUUAUUCCCUAGCUGCAAGAUUGCUAACUUGGAAAGAUUACCAAUCCCGCUCGGGAUUUUCCCGGUGAGACGAUUACUAGAAAGAGAGAUCCAGAUCAUAUUGGUGCAUCUCGAGAUCGACUCAGGGAUUGAACCGGUUAAGAGAUUGUUGUUGAGGAUAAGAGUUUCCAAAUUUCCUCCUUUAACACAAACACCUUCCGGGAUCGUCCCAGUGAGAUUGUUCGCCCACAUAACCAAAUCCGACAGAUUCGGCAACAUCCAUAUCUCUUUCGGAAUCGGACCAGUAAGCUCAUUGAAGCUAAGAUCAAUUGUCUUCAAGCUCUUGCAUUUACCAAGCUCCAUAGGAACUGUUCCUGAGAGGUAAUUGUUAGCUAUGAGAAUCUUUUCAAGAACCGGCGAGCUUUGCAGAGAGCAGAAACCAGACGGUACAUUUCCGGUGAAACCAUUUGAGCUUAGAUCAAGAACACGAAGAUUUGAACAGUUUGUGAGAGAAAUCGGAACAGAGCCUGAGAUGUUGUUGUAAGCAACGUAUAGAUAAGUGAUUCCGGUGAUUUUACUCACGACCGUGUUUAAGAAAUCUCCGGAGAGGUAGUUGUUUCCGAGGUUAAGAUUCUGUAACCAGACGCAGGCGGUGAACUGUGAAGGAAGCUCGCCGGAGAAAGUGUUUCCGGAUAGAUCAAGAAUCACUAGGGUUUUGCAGAGUAGAGAAAGCUCCGGUGGGAUUUCGCCGGAGAGACGGUUAUGAGCUAGAGAGAGCUGUUUCAGAUUCUGGAAACUUCCCCAAUACUCUCCGUUAGGGAUUUUUCCGGCGAGAUUGUUCCGAGAGAUGUUUAAUGUCUCGAGGAAUUUGCAGUUUGGUAGAGUGAUUGGGAAUUUAUCACCGGAGAGAUUGUUCUGUGAUAGACUGAAGAAGGUGAGAUUCCCACAGAUACCGAAACUGAGAUCGGAGAAGUCGCCGGAUAAGUUGUUGUGAGUUAGAUCGAGAUAUUUCAACGACGCCGGAAAAUCUGAAAUAAAACUCUCCGGAAUCUUAUCUGAUAAGAUGUUGUAAGAGAGAUCAACAGUCGUCAAGCUCUGUAAAGACGACGGAGCAAAACCUAAUUUUCCGACGAGCUUGUUGUUGGAGAUAUUCACCGAAACCAGAUUCGAACAUUUUGAGAAAACGUAAUCCACCAUUGAAUAGUCUGAAAUAGAAUUCGAAGACAAAUCCAGAACUUGAAGAUAACAAUCAGAACCAGACGAAUCUCCUCCAGAGGAGAAGUAAUUUCCUUGCAAGUAAAGAUUCUGGAGAUUAGGCAACGCCGUGAGGUUAACUAGGUUUAGGGUUCCGGUGAGUCCACUGUUUCGGAGAUCUAAUCCGACGAUUCGACCAUCGUCAGAGCAAGAAACCCCUCGCCAAGAGCAUGAACCACGACCCGACUCGUAUUUCCAGUUACCAAGAACGUUAUUAGGAUCAGAUUUUACAGAGUUUUGCUUGAACGCCAAUAACAGAGCAGUUUCGUUGAAGUCAUCGUUGAUUAGGUGUUUUCCAUGAAUGCCCAUCACAAGAGAAGUCGUAAAGAAACAGAGUAUCAACACUAACAGCCAUCUCUGCUUCAUUUGGCACAGCAAGAGUUCGCUUAACUUCCUUUUAGAGGUUGAAAAUCCAAGCUUUUAAUUUCUUGAAAGAGUAAGAAUCUUCUUUUACGGACAUGAAUGAAAAGAAGUUUAUCUUCACUGUGCUCAACUCCUGAAAAAAAACAAAGAACCAAAAAAAAAAAACAGAGUAAGUUUUCAGAAUAACAACAAAGAAACAAUCUUUUUCAGUUUUUCUCGAAAAAGGUCGAUCUAAAUAUAGAACCUUGUUCAAGAAGAAGAGUAGAAACUAAGUUUGACGGUGACGGAAGGAGAGAGACAGAGACACUGAUGAGGAAGACAACAGAGGUUGUCUUUUAGAUACUGUUUUUCUGCUCAAGUACGAUGUUGCAGAGCUGGUCGGAUUUAAAAAAAAAAAAACCAAAGUUAAAAAAAAAAUUUGGCUCUUUCCUUUCCAAAAUCAGAUGGUUUAAAGAUUCACUAGCAAGGAGAUAAGUGCUUACAUAGAGAGAAAACUUUUGCAAGCAAGACCAUAACCCAGAAAUGAGAAAGAGAACAGAAAAAGUGAAUUUUUCCUGGAAAAAAACCAAGAGUUCUCCCGGAAAAAAAAAAGUUCUCUUUCUUAAUCGUUGCGUAAUUGAGGAGUAUGGUUUAUUAGUCUUUGUUUGGAAAGAAAUAUCAAAGGUCUCUCUAAUUUGUAAAGCGAAUUAUUUCUUUAUUUAUUUACAAUUUUCUCAUUUGCGGGGAAAUUACAAAAGCAAUAGAGAACACAUUUUUAAAAAACAAGAAUAAAAAGGCAAGUGAGGUCACACACACAAAAAAAAAGGCAAGAAAAAAGGAAAAGCAGAUAAAUGAAGAUAUAAAUCCUACAAAAAAGAAGAGAAAACAUAAUCAUGAUACUAAAGAUUAAUUUUCUCUUUAUAAUCUCUAUCUAAUAAUCUUGCAUUAUUUUAAUAAGAAAACUAAAUGUUUCACUAUUGAAGUUACUUGGGUUGAUGAUUUAGAAUUCAAUUUUACUGAUUUACAAAAGUUAUCUUAAAUGUAAUAUUUUAUCUACCAAUUACUAAUAAUUAGUCACCUUCAAGUUAAAUGAUUUACUGAUUUAGUAGUAACAAAACUGUGAGAUACUUGAGAUUUAUUAACUUAAAAUACAAACUCUAAAUAAUCUGCAAAUAUGUAGUACAACAGCUGUUUUUCUUUUUCAUUUGCCCGUUGGUAAUAAAAUCCUAAAUGGGACUUUUAGUCAAACACUUGGAUUCGAUUUAUUUAACGUUUCUAAUAAAUUAUUAUCAACCUUUAUCAUACUUUUUGGGGUUAGAUGAAUUAACCGGCACGUAUCGAGAUUAUAGGUCUCUUGUUCCCAUAUAAAUAGUAACACCUAACCUAUACAACUAUACAAAGGAAAUGAAUAUGAUAAAUUUGACGAUUAUUACGAUAAAGGCCUACUUUUUUCCUUAGUUCUCGUAUGUUUCUACGCAUUUAUGCAACUUUCUACCCUACAAGUACAAGGCACGAAGCACUAGCUUAUUAAAUUUAAAAGAUAUUUAACAAAUAUUGUUUUUAAUUUACCUUUGGUCCUUCUCCUUUCCCUUUUGUAUAUUAUGUGUGGCCUCGUGUUUUGUCUUUAUUUAUGUAGUUGCUGCUUAACUUUUUGCCAAAGUAGCAUUUUAUCCAACUUCUACAUAAAACAUAUAGUAGCUCAAGUUUAGUCUAUCAAGGUAGUAGUACACUUGAGAAUUAACUAAGAGAAGCCUCUUAAAGAUUGUUUACAUUUUAUAAACACUUACUUCGACUAGUUACAAGUUGAAGUGUUGAAUAACUUUUUUUUUUAAAAAGAAUCUAUUCUAAAUGCCAAAUUUCUGGGGUAUAAUAAACUAUGUAUAUAGAUGAUAGAUGAGACCUUAUUUACUCUUCCAUAGCACAUAUAUCAACAUGUAAUAAACCAAAUACAAGUGUAAUACAUAAACAGAAAAUAGAACAUUAAUUCCAAAAAUCUGUGACAUUCACAUGAAAAAAUGAGCUAAAUAGAUUAAGAGAAAAACAAACAAAAUUUUCUCGAAGUGUUAACACAUAACAUAGUUUAUACACAUAGGAAACAUAAAAAAAUAGAAUAUGAUUCUAAAACAUUUAGCCUGUGUAAUGUUCGAUGUAAAUGACAAAUUUUGAAUUAGAAUAUAGUGAGGACCACAAACGGAUCUAGGAAAUCAAUUUAAUAAUAUUAGGUUAGAUAAAAAGAGAAUUAAAAUAAGAAGGGUUUUUAUGAAAAGCAGGAGACGGUUUUCGACGCGCGUGGGCCGUAGGGUUGGGCCGGGUACCGGUUUUGUCAGUAUUCUCUUCCGCACGAGCGGAUAUUUUGUGACCUCUUUCUACUCUAUAAAGAUUCUCCUCAUGCCCACUAAAUAUUUUUAUGUAUAGUGUCAUUAUGAAAUGAUUCAGUGACUAAAUAUAAAGUAUAAUACUUUGAAAGAAAAAAGUUUGCAGUCUCAUAAUUUUAUUAAGAAUCGGAUUGGUAACAAAAAUUUUAACGUCCAGAGAGAAGAUAACAAUACAUACGUAGUUUAAAACUAUUCAAAGCAACGGGUAAAAAAAAUUAACGUGUAGAGAGAAGAUAACCAUGCACAUAGUAAAGUUUUUGUGAUUAGUUACAGCGAAAACUGUAAACUCUAUAUCGUAGCGAUACAAAGUUACCAAUUCCACUCUAAAAAUAAAAGGAUUUUGUAGCUAAAACAAUCAUAAAUCUUUGACUCUUCUUCUUUCUUUUACUACUCAAAUUUGAUUAAAGAGUUAUUAAACUUAAAUGAUUGACAAAAAAAAGAGAGUUAUUAAAGUGAAAUUUCAUUAUAAGUUUUCACAUAAAUCAUAUUUCAAAAAUUCCAAUUUUCGUUACACAUCAUUAAUCAGGAUGUAAUUGGUUCUUUUGUUCUAUAAUGAAUGGUGGAUGAUGACUUCAGUCUUCAUGAAAACGACUAUUUUUUUAGUGAUGACCCAUAUCCUAAUCAACCCAGUAUUAUUCCUCUUAUUUGUCUAAAUUACAAUCAUUUUUUUACAUGUAUAUAUUUAUUUUUUUCCUUUUAGUAAUCCAUAACUUGUAAAAGAAGAAACAAAAAAAGAGGCAGAAAAAGACAUUUUAAUGGUCCAACGUAUCAUUAUUAAUAUUAGGUAAACUAAAAUUGAGGAAUAGUUCAUGCAUGUCUCUCGACACCUUUCAAGCUUUUAUAUACAAAAUUCACAUAUCGAAAAUGAUUUAUCGGGGAUUUACCAUUUGAAUGUUAACAUUGAUUUUCUACUUUAAUUACGCUUUUCUAGUUGAUAUAUCGAAAAUGGUUACGCUUAUAUAUAUUUUGAUAAUUUUGUUUGACAUUAAGGACCGACCUAAUAAUGAAGAAAAAGCUAAGCAAUUCAUAGUAUAUGACCAACAAAAUUCAAUCACAUUCCAAUCAAUUAGUCAACUGUUUAUUAAUUUUGCCCCUUUUUUCUUAACAAGUUAACUGUAAAAGCCUCUUUUCAGUGCAAAUCAUGGGUCCAUCUUCAGUCAUUACGCUAUCUUUGUGGAUCUUCUGUAUAUGAUUUACUCAUCAACAUGAACAUUUUCAAGAUUUGGUUCCCAACUUUAUUUUAACAGUUGUACAUCACAUUCAUGCAAAAGAAAAUAAUUUUAUAAAAAAAAUUCAAACAUGCACGCUAUCAUUAAACUAGUGUAAAAGGUGGAUAAAGCUAUACAAACAUGAAUUUAGAAUAUUGUCGAUUCUGAACAUAGUAAAUAGAGAUUGGCCAACAAAUGUACAGUAUCAAUUUCACUAGAUUUCUUUUGAUUAUAUGAGAUGAGUCUGUUACUUUGGUGAGAAGCAAUAUUUUCAAAACUAAUAGAGGUAUAUAUUAAUAUUAUUUUUACGAUCUUGUUUGCCUCGUUCUAAUCAAUUUGACCUCAAAAAUUUAAAAGAAGAAAAAUAUAAAAAAAAAGCUAUACCAAAAUGGGCACAAACCCAAUCAAUGCCCAUUUGUACCAACCUCUUUGUCUUUUCUCCGGUCGUUGAUCGAUCUCCUACGACUCAUUUCAUCUCUGCGUUACAAAAACAAAGAGAACCAAAAAAUUUAACUUUGGUUUUGGUCAUAUUUUAGAUUUCUAGUGUUUAGUAAAAGAGAUAUUUUUACCUGAGAAAAGUCCAAAUGGAAUCGUAAUGAAGGAGGCCAAGCAGUUUCCUUCGUUUCCCUUUGUGAAUUACUUCACCUCGUUUUACAACAGGUAAUUGCUUUACACCUCUAGCCUCCAUCAACUCCUUGGCUACACCAACUGUGGCGUCUGGAUAACAAGUAAGUAAACCGCGUUCUUGGCCUCGAUAGCUUAUUUUCUUAGUACAUACAGAAGAAACCGGACAUGUAUUCUCCUGCAAGAGACGAAGACUUAAACUCGGUUCAACUAAAUGCGAUGAGACUGAGGGAGUUUGUUUUGUUUCACUACUCACAUCUAAGAUUGUAGAGGCGUUAUUGGACAAGUAUCUUCUUAUGUCACCGUGUGUUAGGAUUCCAGCUAGAAAAUCAUCGUCAUCGACCACCAUAAUGCAGUUUUGGUGGCUCUCUUUAAGGAUGUUUCUUGCUUCUCUUAGAGUUGUUCCUGAAGAAACUUUCACAUAGUUCUUUGACAUAACCCGCAUAACUUUUAAGUCUUCCAGAAUAGUCUCUUCAUCCAAAAAGGAAUUAUGGUCAGGGUUCUCUAUGACGGUAAGCUCAAGGGAGUCAGCAUUAUCCGUAUGUCUCCAGACUCCUUCGGUUUUACGUUCGGAAGGUGAAAGAGAAGAGUAUCCUCUUCCUGUGCUACGACCUUCAGAUGAAUCACUCUCUUUGCCUUGGUUUGCCACAGAGGGAACCCAUAUUGCUAAACCAACUGCUCCCUGUUCAUAGAUAUCGACAGAGAGAUAAUAUCAAUAACAGCUUAAUCAAAAUAUGAACCAGAAUAUAGAAUGUUAAAUGGAAAAGGAAUGUUUUUAUCUACGUACAAACUAGCCCUGGACCUCUGGUUAUAAACAUAGUAUUACAACGACAUGGUCAGUGGUACAUUUCAUAGUGUCAACAAGGGCUUUACUGAUCAAUUAGUUAAACAGGCAAAUUCGGGAAUAUGUUAUGAAUCCGCCUCUAUUAAGUGAGUUUAUACAAUAAGCAUCACUGAAACAGAACGGGAAAGAGAAUAUUUACCAUGAGGGGAAGCAAAAUUCUAUAAUCUUUCGUUAGCUCGAACAGCAGUAAUACUGAUGUUAAGGGAACAGAGCACAUUGAAGCUAGUGUCGCUGCCAUUCCAACCUGCAUCACAUAAAACGAUGGCAUCUUAAUGUGUCAGAUUUCACAACAAUCAAAUUGGACAGUACUAAAAUUUAAUUUAAGAAAACUGCACUGAAGCAAGGGCCUGCGUCAAAGGGAAUACAAUACCAGAGCAUAAGCUUGUGGUUGAGCAACAGCAGCAUUACCAGGAAUAGCUCUGUUAAUAAUCUCAGCAGCCGAACCCCCAAAUACAGCACCAACAGCAGCACCAAUCAUCAAACUUGGUGCAUAUAGACCACCUACAAGCCCAGAGCCUUUGCAAAGAGCUGUAGCCACAACUUUUGCAGCGGCUAACUGAGCUAAUAACCAGAUUCCAGGAGCUGAAGCACUUUUUCCAGUAUGCAGGAUUUCCUCAACAUUUGUAAACCCCCAAUACAAAAUUCCAGGGUACUUGAGAGCAAUAAUUCCAGCUCCUAAACCACCUAGUGCAGGGCACACGAUAGCAGGAAGACCAAAUUUGUCUUUGAUGAAAUCGAAUGACUUGGUAAACCACGUGACGAGCCGAGAAAAAACAACACUGACAGCACCGCAAAGCAUGCCUAGUAUCAGGUACAGAGGGAGCUCUGGAGACAAGUAAAAAAUAUGUUUGGAAACUUAUACACAAAUACUCGAUGAAGCAAAUAAAUAUUGGCAUUCAUUAUCUAAAGAUACCAAGAUUUUUUAUGAUAUAUCACAUUAUCACCUAUCCAUCAGGACACUAAAUCAUAAGCUACAAAAAAACGCAAACCACAAGACUAACUGGAAGGUUUGCAAUAUAGAUUAACAGUGAAAGAAACAUACCUGCAGCAGACUUCAGGUCGUAUGAGGGAACUGUGAAAGCUGAUUGAGUCCCAAGCAGAGCAUUUGACACAGUCGAUGAUAUAACAGAGGCCAAUAUUAUCAUUGCAGUGGUAAAUGGAGGCGAGUUCUCGGCACGUAAAGGUCUUAAAACAGUUUCAAUAGCAAAGAAACAACCCGCCACUGCUGCAUUGAAACCUGUAACGAGAAAUAAAGAUGACUAUCUCAAUGCUCUCACCUUUAGUAAGAAACACCACUACCCAAGAAUCAUAUUUCAAAAUGGCCAUAAGUAAACUAUUUUUCAGUAAUUACUCCCGCAAGAUGCUUUGUCUAGAUCUACACACCUAUGAUCCACAUACACAUUUCUAGGCUAUAUAGUACAUAGACGAUUGUGAGACCAAGAGAGUGAGCGAGAAGAACGAGGGGCAAUAAAUGUUGCAUAGGCCAACAUACCAGGUCCCUAAUAUGGACAUUUCUUGAUCAAAUUCACCAGGUAAAAGCUGAUCUUAAGGAGCUAUGUUUUCAUUGACAAUCCAAUAACACAUAAAUAUCAACUCAGAAGAUGCAUAAACUGUUGAAGAGAGCGAGGGUGUAGAUUAUACCAGAUGCAAUCCCAGAAGCCGCACCAGCUGCGGUGAGAGCUAUUCUUCUUUCUCUGUUGUUUUCCAUCAUGAGUGCAAAACCGUUGGCACAUGAUUUUCCAAUGUCAACGCUAGGUCCCUCAGGACCCAGUGAACAUCCUGUACCAAGGGUCACAGCAGCUUGGAUGGCCUUUAUCACUGGAUAAAUACCAGCAAGAAAAUCUAGUCCUUGUCUUUGAGAAGAAUUAGAUUGCCUUAUUUGGUCUAAGAUCUCAAGCAAACCGUGCAUCAUUCCUACUAUAACACCUCCAGUGACCGGAAUUAGAAGAAUCCGAUGCCAAGUAUCAGCUAGUCUCUGUAGACGAAGCCAUGCAGCACCUUCGUUGGGAGUACCAGCCCAUGCCCACUCAUGAAUGACAUGAACCUAAGACAAAAAUACUACUCUAUAGAAUCAGCACUCAAUUUGUAAAUCAAUCGAAUCAAUAUACAUCGAGAUCUGAUGUAUGACCGUACCCCUUUAUUGAAGCCGGCGACACAAAUUCCAGCGGCAACACCAAUAAGACAGCCAAUGAGAAGCAGAGCCCACUCAGGUGGAGCACUAUCUCCGAGAACUUCUUCAUCAAACCCGUACUCGUCAUUUCGAUCAUCAACGCUAUGUAAAUUACUGAUACCACCACCAUCUUCUUCUCCAGCAGCCGAAAACGCUGAAGAAGAAGAAGGAUUAUGGCGCUCUCUAUCGACUCUGAUAUUCUCCAUCCGUUUAAAACUUAAACGACGACCGGAAAGAGAAAAUCUCCGAUCUAUAUGCUUGAACAGAUCCCUAACUCCUCCAGCUCCACUUCUGAUAGCCGGAGACUGAGAUUCAACAUCUAGAUCACCCUCUCCUCCGCCAAUGCCGACUUCAUCUCCGUCGGUGGAUCGUAACAGAUGUCUGUCUUCGUUAUACUCUCCGGCUCCUCCCGAUGACAUAACUGAUUUCAAUUGGCUCUUUUACCAACAAACCAUCCCUUCGCCGUGAUAUUUCACUACUGCAUCAAUUUAAGUCUCCCCGGGAUGAAAUCUAAAUCUACGCCGCAGAGAUUCGUCGCCGGUGUUGUUCAGAUUUGAUCGGAUUCAGAUUCCGAGUUUUUUUUUUACUAAAGUCGAUAACGAAACACGCGCCGGAGUCGUAAAGAGAACCUUUAGUGUCAACUAGAAGAUUCAAGCGAAGCCACCAUUUAUGGGCCUUUAUUGGGCUGGUUUAUUUUUGUAACAAUUAUAUAAAAGGUACGUUCGAUUCUGCACAACAAGUCGAUAUGUCCGAGUGGUUAAGGAGACAGACUUGAAAUCUGUUGGGCUUCGCCCGCGCAGGUUCGAACCCUGCUGUCGACGAUGCGUUUUCCUUUUUUUGGUUGGUUAUUUCAAUUUCUGAAAAUUAGUCUUCGAUGUUCGGUUAUCCGAUCGGUUUCAGUUCUAUAGUGUUCAUUCGGGUAUCUUGAAGUUUUGGUUCCAGUUCAUUCGGAUUUAAAUUUUAGUAUCUAUUCGGUAAAUUUUGUUUUUUUGGAUAUUGUUCGGUUAUUUUCAAGUAUUUUUAUAGAUUUUUAAGUAUCUAUUCAGUGAAUUCGGAUUUAAAAUUUAGUAUCCAUUCGUUUGGUUCUGAUUGGUUCUUUUCACUUCGGUUCAAUACAUUUGGUUCGGUUAAAAUGGCUAAUACACAACAGCCUACUAAAACAUGUUAAGGAACAUGAGGUAGGCAAAAAAAAAAAUCCGUUUAAUCGAUAUCACAAAAAAGCCUUAUGAAACAAACUAAAAAAAACUAAGAUCUUCUAUAUUUUUUCAACUUUGAAAUAAGAUGAACAUAAUGCCCUUUCUCUACCAUGUCCUUCACUACUUCAUGAGCCUCUAAAACCUUCCCCGCGUUUUUUAGAUUGUUCACCAGUGUACUAUACACUACAAAAUUAGGGUUACACCCUCUUGACUCCAUUUCCUUGAGCAACGCGCACGCCUCUUUGAAUUUCCCCGCCAUACAAAACCCGCGGAUCAUCGAAUUGUAUGUGAAAACAUUCGGGAGUUGCCCCUUUUCUGUCAUUUCUUUGAACAUUUCUUCGGCUUUCUCGAGCUCCCCACCUGAUAUAUAUCCUGUGAUCAUAACAGUGUAGCAAACAACAUCUGGCGUGCAUCCAACUUUCACCGUUUCGUCCAUAAAGUAUUUGCAAGCUUCUAACUUCCCAGCUCGGCUCAGCCCGUCUAUCAGAGUAGUGAAAUGGAUGACACCGGGCUCAACUCCUACUUCCCUCAUAUGAUUCAGAAGGUUAAGAGCAGCGAGAGGCUUGUUUCCUGUUGCUAGAUGAUGGAGGAGGAUGUUGUAUGUAUACAAAUCAGGAGAAAACCCGUCUUUAACCAUUUCAUCUAGCAAUCUAUAAAGCCGAUCUGUUUUCCCUAACCUAAAGUUUGCAAACAUUACAAUGUUGUAAGUCAGAACAUCUGGCGUAAACCCGUCUUCUAACAUCUGCUCGUAAACCCAAUCAAUCAGCUUGUACUGUUUCACCCCUAGCAAAGAAUGCAAAAUGGCAUUGUAAGAGUGUUUAUAAGGUCGGUAAUUGAAAGUUUUCGACUUGAUGAACUGCUCAACAACAUCUCUAGCAAGGCCUGCUUCCCCGCAAGUACAUAUCAAUAGAUUAAACGUGCAUGCUGUUGUUGGAUAACCGUCUUUGAUCAUCUCAUCAAUUAGCCUGCACAUGGCUUUAUACUCACCACAUUCAGCAAAUAUCUUCAUAAGUAAAUGAUAACAAUUCGCAGUGUGCCUGAAAUUCUCUUGUCCACCACACCACACAAAGAACUUGUAAGCGAGCUUAGCACACCUUGUUUUAUUAUCAAAGCUCAGAGUUCUUAAGAUCCCAACAAGAACCUCUCUCACUAAUAGCCCUGAGAUUGAAACAUUCAAUUCAUCUAAAGCUGAUUUCGUAUUGAAACCGGGACAAUCUUGCUGUAACGUAUCGAGAACCCGAGACGCACUGAGUUUAGUACUCUCCAUAAACCUUUUUCUAACAGAGAUUUUCUCACCAUUUUCCUCCUGGUCAAACUCACAAUCCAUCUCCGAAGAUUCCCAAGUUAUCUUCAAGGGCUCUUCGGUCCCGUUAUCGGUUACAUCACCACCGAUGCUACCAUUGCAAAAUUUCCUCGAUGUGAAGAGAAAGCGAGAAGCUUUACGAACCGCAACACUAGUGCUAUAAUGAAUUACAGAGUUCAUAUUUGAGCUUAAUCCAAAAUAGAUUUUUCUUCAUCAUCUCUGGAACUUAAAGGAACUAAGCAGACCCGAGAACUCUAAAUUCAAAGACGAAAAUCUCACCUCCGAGAGCCUCGGAUUCGCAAAACCGCAAAAACCCAUCAAACUAUUGGCAAUUAAGCAAAUUGGAAUCUAGAUUUCUACAGAUUCCAUCUGAAAUCGAAGAUUACCUUGACGAAGAAGACGAGUUCAAGGGGUAUAAUGGUAAAAUAACUGAACCUGGAUCCCAGGUUCUACUCAGACGUCUCUGCCGCUGCUCUCUGCUUUUGAGAACUACCGAGAAGAGAAUCGCUGAACCGAAUCCACAUUUUGAAGAGGAUCCGACCCGACUUUUAUGGGCCCUAAAAUAAAACUGGCCCAUCCCAAAACGUUAAUCAACGUGGGAACCACUUUUUGUUUUGCUAUAUACCUAUACCUUCAAAACUUUUAAUUUCGGUUAAACUAGUUGACUAGAGAACUCAAAAGUGGUGUCCGGUGAUCGGCGAUGUUAGCACCGGGGGAGAGUGUUCUGAUCCCGGCGGAGGAGAUAAGUCUCUCCGCUGGUGAUGUUAUCUCCUUGUCGGUGCACAAUCUAAUAGCUUCUGUUUCUAGCUACCGUCCAUGGUGGUCAGAAUUUCUAGCAUUCGGUUCCAUCGACCGUCCAAGCUCUUUCUCCCCCGCUGUUUCGCGCGUUAAACUUAACCUUCACCACUUUGCGGUUAACUACGUACUUUUAACCGCUGCUUCCAUCACACUCUUCUUGAUCGGUGAUCCGAUGGCUCUUGUCACGGUUGCAUCCUUUGUAGCCAUGUGGCUACUCCUAUAUUUCUAUAGAGACCAUCCGUUGGUCUUGUACGGUCGACAUAUUAGCGACCGUGUUAUCGUCUUUGGGUUGAUUCUUGGCUCGCUUUGGGCAUUGUGGUUCAUUAAUAGCCUCCAAUGCCUGAUUCUUGGCGUCGUUACAAGUGUCUUGCUUUGUUUGGUCCACGCAAUCAUACGGAAUUCAGACGACCUCUUUGUACAAGAGAAAGAUGUUGUUGUUCCUUCCAAUUUCCUUCAUUGGAGCUGACGAUAUGUCAUAUGCAAUUAUGUGAUUACCUUUAAAAUUCACGCACGCAUUGUCAUAUUUGAAUGUGGCCAUGUGGGUUACGAAAUGGUAUCAGUAUAUUUUACAUGUCCGGUCAAGCUUGCAUAUUUAUUACUAGUUAUUAUCAUUUCUGAUAUGCCCAGUUUUUUUCUAAUCGUCUAUUAUCUUGAGAAAAAUUUAUGACCCUCCCUGUACACCAAAAAUUUGAAAUCAAUACAAUUUUUUUUAAAAGAAAAUUAUAUACAAGAAUAACCAUAAGAAUUGUUCUAAAACUACCUACCUUCACAUUGUAUCAACUUAAUAGGGACAUUAUCUUUGUUAUCGUACUCUCAUCUCCGCUAGAGCCUUUCAUAAUUGCUCCUCUUGUCUUGUGGAAGCAAUUAAUGGAUGGUACAUUGGUACUCAAAUAUUCUUUUGUGAAAUUUACUAACAAAGUAAAAGUUUCUUAGUCUAAAUCUUUUAAUUGAUUAUUUGUAGAGAAAAAAAAAAUAUGACCACAAAAGAUUAUGUCCAAAAAUAUUGUAAUAUUUGACCUAUUCCAAUUUUAAUUUGUUUUAAAAUCAUUUCCCAAAAAUUUCACUACAAUUUUUUUUCUAAGAAAAUUCUUACAUGAUGUAUCUAAAAAUCGAUAACGGCUAAUUUAUUUUAGGGAAAAUUGGAUAAAAAAAUAAAUAAUUGAAAUAUUGUCCAUCUAACGCAUGCAAUAUCAUUGAUAAUUUUUAUUCAAAUACGAAAGCGACGAAGCACUCACUUUACUUAGGAUCCUUUACUUAAUAUCAUAAUAUAAAUAAAAUCUUAUCUACUGACUACAUUUAAAGGAAAAACCUUAUCUAAAACUGCUACAAUUCAUAGAAUGAGACUUUGAAAAACUUUCUCUCCCAGGCACGGUACCCAAGGAGGAUAUUAGAAGUAUGUCUCCCGCUUUUAACCAGAUCUAUGUUUCCUUUUGCAUCCCAAAAGUGGAAACUUCCAACGGUUAUUAACCAACCCUAAUGAGCUCCGACGAGAUUUUGGGUGAUUCCGACGUCUCCUCCUCCGCUUAUCCCCUCUGUUUCAAGCUCUAAUUUGGUUUUACAUCUUACUCCCACUCUCCUCAAGAGUUCUCUCAGGUAGUUUUCUGGUUUCUCACUAUGUCUUGUCUGCCUGUGUACUCUUGUCUCUUAACCUGUUAAACCUGUGCAAGCUUUUAACCCUUUUAAACCUUACUGCUUCUCCGAGAGCAUUUAUUUGAGUCCUGAAGAACUAUCUCCCCAACCUCUUAGCCCACAAUCUUUACUACACUCACCUGCACCCUUAAAUAUUCUUUUGUGAAAUUUACUAACAAAGUAAAAGUUUCUUAGUCUAAAUCUUUUAAUUGAUUAUUUGUAAAGAAAAAAAAAUAUGACCACAAAAGAUUAUGUCCAAAAAUAUUGUAAUAUUUGACCUAUUCCAAUUUUAAUUUGUUUUAAAAUUAUUUCCCAAAAAUUUCACUACAAUUUUUUUUCUAAGAAAAUUCUUACAUGAUGUAUCUAAAAAUAGAUAACAGCUAAUUUAGUUUUAAGGAAAAUUGGAUAAAAAGAAUAAAUAAUUGAAAUAUUGUCCAUCUAUGCAUGCAAUAUCAUUGAUAAUUUUUAUUCAAAUACGAAGCGAAAAAGCACUCACUUUACUUAGGACCCUUUACUUAAUAUCAUAAUAUAAAUAAAAUCUUAUCUACUGACUACAUUUAAAGGAAAAACCUUUUUUGUAAAACUGCUACAAUUCAUUCAACAUUUUGCAACAAGUCGUAAAUCGUAAUUAAUUUAACGCGGAUUAUGUAAAAGGAAAAAGGGGAUUUAGUAUAUGCAUAUGUGGUGGAGACAAAAACAAAAUCUGUACAUAAACAUUAGGCCCCUAAUUCCAGAUAAGAAGAUAAAAAAAUCCUGAAAGUUGUAUGAAAGUUCGUUCAUUUAUAUCUCUGAAAGUUGAAAAAUCUUUUCAAAAGAAAAAAAAAAACACUCCAAAAGAAACUAUGUCGACCGAUAGUUCACAAUUUGAAGUUGUUCCCGCUAAUGCCUCUGCUUUAGACAACGACGUUUCCUCUCACAUGUCUAUGUUGUAUCAGGAUAUUGUCCGAAACCCCGAACUUUUCUGGGAGAUGCUCCGGGAUUUCCAUGAAUCUUCGGACAAAAAAUUUAAGUGAGUUAUGCAUGUUCUUUUAGUGUUUUUGGUUUUCUUAAUGAAUUUUAUUGUUUAUAAAAUUACAAUUGUGGAUGAAAAAUCCUACUCUACAUCGGGUUGAUAAAUUUAUUAGAGAUUCUACAACUUUAUUCACAAUCCAUUGUAUGGUGGGUUAUAAAUAUACCAAAGGAGUCAGUAGACAGUAGCCUUGUUCUCCUUGGUUUGAGAAACACUGGGAUAAGUGGCAAUUUUUUUGUUUAAGGGAAAAAAAUCUUCAAAAUAUUGUUAUUGGAAAAGGUGACUUUGAGCUUUGGCCCUGAACUUCCUCUUAAAAUAAAAAUGACUCGUAUUGUCGUAGAUUUAAGGGCUUGAUAAAAUUUAUUUGGCUAGAUGGAAGCAUAAACCAAUUAGGUUAUCGAAUUGUGAAGGCACGGAAGUGUGUAUGGCUUAUUGAAUUGGAUCUGGUUUGCUCUUAAACUGUAGUCCAAAAUCAGUCUUUAUUUGGUUUUGACAAAAAGAUUUGAAUUGAUAAGCCACGAAGAGCUGUAAGAUUUUUUUUAAUUUUUUUUUUGGUUACCGUUAAUGCUAAAUUGUUUUAAAAGUAAAAAUGUUGGGAAAUGGAAAUUGCUUUUAUGCUCUUCUGAUAUGUUCAAUGUUUUGUGCUUCAGUUGAUCUAUUCUCUUGACUAAAUUUCAUUACAUUAAACUGUUUCUGAUUUUUUCCGUUUGUAAAGGAUUCCUAUUGUGGGUGGAAAAAGUCUUGAUCUGCAUCGGCUUUUCAACGAAGUCACAUCUCGAGGUGGUCUUGAAAAGGUAACAAGUUCAUAGUGCCAUUGAACAUCAAGUUUUAAAUCUAUUUUUUCUUCAUUAAAUAUUAUACAAUUCUGUUUUAAAAAUCCUAUUGAUUUUAGGUGAUCAAGGAUCGUAGAUGCAAAGAAGUGAUUGACGCAUUCAAUUUUAAGACAACAAUAACAAAUUCAGCAUUUGUUCUAAGGAAGUCGUAUCUUAAAAUGCUCUUUGAAUUUGAGCAUCUCUAUUACUUCCAAGCUCCACUUUCUACAUUUUGGGAAAAAGGUCUUAAAAUACCAUUCAUGAUCUCUCUCUUUCUAAUUCUCCAAGAAGAUCCAAGAUUAAUAUACAUGUUUGUCCUUUCUUCGCAGAAAAAGCAUUGAAGCUCCUUAUCGAAAAAUCUGCAAACCGUGACAAAGGUACUUAAAAAUUCAUGUUUUUGGAUAUGUUGCAUGUUUUUUGCAUUUAUAAAUCCAAAGUUUUUAGAUUCUCUUCUUUCAUCUUAUUUUGAGUGUUGGGAUUUGCUUUCUGAAACAUAUUCAGACUCUCAAGAACUGAAACCUGGCACCGUGAUUACUGGGAUCAUCGAUGGGAAAUUCGAAAGUGGUUAUCUUAUAAGCACAAAGGUAGGCUCAGAAAAGCUCAAAGGAAUGCUUUACCACAUUUCUCCUGAAACUAAAAGAGGCAAGAAGAAAGCAAAAUCAUCUCAGGGGGAUUCUCAUAAGCCACCUAAGCGUCAAAGAACCGGUUACAACUUCUUCGUUGCUGAGCAAUCCGUGAGGAUUAAAGCUGAGAACGCUGGACAAAAAGUAUCUAGCCCUAAGAAUUUUGGGAACAUGUGGACCAAUCUCUCUGAAUCUGAUAGAAAGGUAAUUCAAAAGACUUAAGAAAUUAACUGAUGAUUUUAAACUACGUUUUCAAGUUUCAUUUAUCUCGAAUGGAUUUAACGGGUUUGGUUUAUGAUUUUUGAACAGGUUUAUUAUGAGAAAAGUCGUGAGGAUGGGAAGAGGUAUAAAAUGGAGAUUUUACAGUACAGAUCUUUAAUGGAAUCUCGUGUGGCGGAAAUUGUAGCCGCAACUGAUGCAGGUACAAGUGCAAGUGCAGCGGAGACUGCGGAUGAGGCGAGUCAAGAAAAUUUAGCCAAGACUGAUGCAUGCACAAGUGCAAGUAGUGCAGCUGAGACUGAGGAUGAGGUGAGUCAGUAGUGUUGACCGUUGAGAUGGGUCAGUAGUGUUUCUCUAUCGUUGUCUUCUCUAUUUGUUGUAAGUUUAUCUUUAUGUUAUGAGAACUUUGGUUAAUAAUAAGUUGUGGAAUCUUGGCAACGACCCUUUCAAUAAAUUGUUUUUUUUUUUUUUUUUCUGCAAUCUUAAUGCCAAACUUUAUGUUUCAAGAGUUGAGUUAGCUUGUCCUAAUCGUCCUAGUAUGAGACAUGCCGUUUCUGAAAGUAACAUCAUGAUUGUAUUUUAUUUUUUAAACCAACGUACUGUUGUGGGUCGCAUGCAGAGGCUUCUCUAAUCCAUUCUAGUCUAAACAUAACGGGCUUUCUUGUUAUUUUCCUCAACGGGCCUUUUUGUUACAUAUAUAUUCAUAUUUUUCGAAAAGACCAAAAGUUACAGAAUUAGAGUUAUUUCAAAGGUUUCAGACGGUUUGGGCGGAGAAGUCAAUGUUUGAAGUCUUACCCUAAGGAGAAAGAUACCAGAUUUAAACUUGGGUUUAGGGGAAAAACGGCUAAGUCAUAUCCGAACAUUAUGGGAAGUUCUUUUUAUAGAUGAUAUAUGAUCAUUAGAAAUAUAAAUAGUAAUCAUUUUAAAUUUUAUAUCCACAUUAACUAACAAAUAAAUGACACAUACUUUGACCGUAUCUCUGUGAAUCAGCUAGUAAUGUUUUGAAACUUCUAUCCCAAACCAUCAUAGCUUACUAUGACGCCAUCUAAGAAAAUAAUAUGACGCUGUAUAUAUUUAAAUUACUCUACUUUCAAAACGACGUUGGGAAAUAUAGAGAUAGAGAAAAAAAAAGUGAAGAUUUUAAUGGAUAAAAGAGAGUAUGUUGGAUUUCAAUAAUGAGAAGUUAUUUUUUAUAGAAAUGAUAAUAUGUUUAGAAAUAUCCAAAAAUAGUUUAAAUUCUUAUACCCAAAUUAGCGAAUAAAUGACACAUACUUUGACUGUAUCUGUCUCAAUCAAUCAUUAAUUUUUCAAAUUUGUUCCCAAACCAUCAUAAAAUGUGUACUAGGAUGCCAUCCAAUAAAACAAGACGUCGUGUAUGUUUAAUUUUCUUUACUCUCAAAACGAGGUUGAAGAAACAAAUUUCUCCAAAGAGGAUAAAAUAAAGAAAAAGGUGAUGAUUUCAAUGGAUAGAAGAGAGUAUGUUGGAUUUCAAUAAUGAGAAGUAUUUUUAUAUAAAUGAUAAUAUGUUUAGAAAUACCCAAAGAUACUUUAAAUUCUUAUACCCAAAUUAGCGAAUAAAUGACACAUACUUUGACCGUUCUGUCUCAAUCAACCAUUAAUUUUUUCAAAUUUUUUCCCAAACCGUCAUAGAAUGUGUACUAGGAUGCCAUCUAAUAAAACAAGACGACAUCGUAUAUGUUUAAUUUUCUUUACUCUCAAGACGAGGUUGAAGAAACAAAUUUCCCCAAAGAAAAUAAAAUAAAGAAAAAGGUAACGAUUUCAAUGGAUAGAAGGGAGUAGUUUCUACAAUCUUCCCACAAUUAAGAGGCAAUCAAGAUCAAAUCCGUGAGUUAGGGUUGUUUGUUAUAUAAUCAUAGCUAUCAUCGAGUGAGACUUUCGAUUCACAUGAAAAGUUUUAUUGAUUUUUUAUUUACAACAGAAACUCCAUAUAUUAUGUAGUAAGAAAGGACUUCCUCCUCGCUUAUUCGUUGAUUUUCAGUUUUCUUGCUUUCCUUUGUUGCUUUUUCUUUUGAUCUCGUUUCGAUUAAGGGAGAAUCUAGAUCGAAUUACAACACAUCUCUAACCAAGAGCAUAAUAGCUUAAGGUUCUAUGAUGAAAUGAAUCUCAAAAAUUUAUUGUUUUCAUGUUUUUAAAACUUUUUUUGACAUGGGACCAUGUUAGCUUCAUGAAAAUGUCUUUUAGGUUAAGAUAUUUACAUUCUUACAUGUUCGUAUUCGGACGCCUUUUACAUUGCAAAAGUGUUACUUAUUUCGAACUUAUUGAAUAUAUGGAACUUGAACACUUGUAGGUGUAUGCUUAUUCAAGAUUUACAUGAAUGGAUGGUACGAAUGUAACGUGCACAGUAAAUGUUAGAUCUAAUGUUUUAGUGAGUAUUUUCCAACGAAAUGUGUGGAAUUCAUGUUUAUUACAAACAAUUUCUUUUAAAACAUUUCCUUCAUUAUUGAUUAUUCAUUAAGAAAAUUAAUUAAGAGAACAAACCUGUUCGUUUGCCCUAGACAAGGCAAUACAUCUUAUGUUCCUUUGUGUUAUUAUUCCUUGUCUAUGUUCUUACUUAUGUUCACUCUUUUCUUGGUUACUCGGACAGAUUCCAAGUUUCUUAUUCGACAAGAUAAAUGAAUCUUGGUUAACAUCAACGAAAAGAAACGUGGAGAUUGUGAAGAAUUUAAUGGACAAGAUCAGUCAGUUGCCUGAUGAAUUGCUCGUGAAGGUACUAUCAUUUCUUUCAACAAAAGAUGCUGUAAGCACGAGUAUCUUAUCGAUGCGAUGGAAGUCUCUUUGGAUGUGGCUGCCUAAACUGGAGUACAAUUUUAGGCAUUAUUCAGUGUCUGAAGGCCAGGGGUUGGCUAGAUUUAUUACUUCGAGUCUGCGAGUACAUAAAGCUCCGGCUAUUGAAAGCUUGAGUCUCAAGUUUAGGUAUGGAGCAAUUGGAUCAAUUAAACCUAAAGAUAUUUAUCUCUGGGUUUCACUUGCAGUUCAUGUUAGCAACGUCCGUGAGUUAAGUCUAAAGCUUUUUAAUUUUGCGGAGCUUCCAACUAAAUUGCCCAAAAGCUUAUGUAAAUGCAAAUCGAUUGUGAUCUUGAAACUGAAAGACGAGAUUCUCGUUGAUGUUCCUCGUAAGGUAUGUCUCCCCUCCCUGAAAACAUUGUUCCUUGGACGUGUGACUUACUCGGAUGCAAAUUCUCUUCACCGACUUCUUUCCAACUGCCCUGUUCUUGAGGAUCUAGUUAUGGAACGAGAUAAAAUUGACAAUUUGGGGAAAUUGAGUGUGAUUGUCAAGUCCUUGCAGAGACUAACCCUAAAGAUGUCUCGUCCUUGUCAUCUUGAUGGGCUUAAGAUGAAUUCUCCUUCUUUGAAGUAUUUGAAAGUCAUUGAUGAAAGGCUAGAGAGUGAUAGUGAUGAUGAGAGUGACAGUGAUAGUCCUCGAUACUUCUACGAUUUUGAAGAUAUGCCUAAGUUGGAGGAGGCAGAUUUUGUAUUGACAUUCCAAAAUAUCAAAAAGUUCUUUGGAUCAAUCACAUCUGUUAAGCGUCUUUCGUUAUGCUUGGGAGUCUACACCGAAGAGGUAAUCUGUUUCCAUCACUCUAUCCAUCUCAUUGUUGAACAAUAAACCAGGUUUUCUUGAAGUUGAAUCUUUUGUCAUCUUAUGCAGUCUUUAUAUCAUGAGGGUCUUGUCUUCAACCAGCUUGAACAAUUGAAGAUAUGUUCAUGUGAUUCAGAUUGGUCAAUUUUACUUGCCCGAUUACUCAAAAGCUCUCCCAAUUUACGAGAGCUCGAGGCUUACGUGAUAGAAGUAAGUUUGUUCCUUAGAGACCUAUACUCUUGGUUCAAUUAACUAUAAUGUUUAAGCCAAACUUCUCAUGUUUGAUCACAGGAUCAUCCAAAUGGGCGUACGGAUCUACCAAAUCAGUGGGACAAUCAGCUGAAUUGUGUUCCUACAUGUUUGUUGUCCAGUCUCGAAACGUUCCGUUGGAGUGAGAUGCAUGGAUUGCUGCAGAACCAGAUGGAUGUAGCUAAAUAUAUCUUGAAAAAUGCUCGCUGCUUAAAGUCUGCGACAAUCUUUUUUCCGACAACAUAUGCUCAAGAAACAAGAGAUGAGAUGAUCGAGGAGUUGUCACUUUCUUUUCAAGGUCCAGAAACAUGCCAAGUCUUCUUCCAUUGAGGAUGUGAAUCAUAAGGAUUCAAACUUUCAUUUCCAUAGACACUACCCUCCUUUAUUACAAUGGUUUUUUAUUUGCAGCCGUAACUUGAUCUAAACUUAAGGUUUAUGUCUUUGUUUUUGGUUUUCUUUUUGUAUACUUUAUCUUUGAGCAUACUGUUUUUGUUGAGACAUUGGCUUUAUCUUUCUGAGAUCUUACAUCUAGACUCUCUCUUAGGUAUGAAACUAGCUUCACCAAAUCACCUAAGUUUUUCAUACGAACAUUAGCUCAAACUAAAUCGAAAUCUUGAGCGCAAGUAAAAAUGUGAUUUCAUCUCUCUGUUUCCAUAGUGUAUAUACUAUUAUGUUCUUCUUAUAAAACUCUGCAAACCAAUCUUUGUAAAUGGAGAAAUAAAACAUUUGCAAAAAGAGGGACAAGUCUUAGACAACAACAACAACAACAGAAGAAGAAACAGAGAUAGAGAACAGAUUAGAUAGCUUGCAACACAAGUCAAACAUAUACAUAUACAUAUACGAGAGAUUGACAUUGAAACGAAUCAUCCAAAGAAGCUUGGGUCGUAUCCAUUGCUGGAAGUAGCCAAGAUGUAGUAAGCAACGAUGUGUCCAAUAGAACCCCAAGCAAGAACAUCAACAAUGUUGAAUCCAAUUGGAUCGUUCGAUUUCAAGAGACUGACGUACUCCUUAGCACGAUCAUCUCCAGCUUCGAAAUGGGUUUUUCCGUUCUGCUCCGGUAAGCCCUGUUUUGCUACGUUCUCUCUCUGGAAGUUGAAGAAGACGAAACGGCCGAGGAAGAGGGAGAGACCUGUGCUGAGACUUAUGACGAUGGAAGGGCUUAGCUCAGCUCUCACGACAGCGGAGGAGGAUUUUCUCCCGGUGGUUGAUAGUUUGGGUAGGGCGGAGGAGGAGCCACCUAGACGGAGGGGACGAAGGCCAUGGAAUGAGAUGGAGUUAGGGUUUUUGUGGGAGAUUGCAGUGGAGAAUGUGGUUGGUGAGAGCAAAGCUGAUGCGCUUGUGGCCAUUUUGCUUCUUCUUCUUCUUCUCUAAGAAAAAUUUCAGUAAUAGAAAAAUGAGUGGUUUUGGAUUUAUGAUCUGAAGGUUUGGUUUUGGAUUCUGGCAAGCAGGAGAAGAAGCAGAAGAAGAUUUUGUUUGUGAGGAUACGAUUACGGAUGGAUGAUGUGGCAUUCUCUCGUUGGUUCUUUCUGGAUUAUGAGAUUUUCAAAGAAAUAUUUGCGUUCAAACCCUUGUAAUUUAGUAGGAUACACUUUGAAGAACCUACUAUCUUUUUUUUAAAAGAUUUAGUCCAUAAUCUACACUUUAAUAGUCUUUUUUCUCAUAAAGUGUUUGUAUUUUAUUUAUAACUUGUGUUGUAAAAACUCAAUAUUACAGGUCUUGAUACAUAUGAAACUAAAACCAACAAACUUAUAACCAUAGGCCCAACGAGAAAAGCCCAAUCGAGAAACAUAAUCCUUUAAGGAAGUAAGCUAAAUAAUUCCCGACUGCAAAGCCACGUGGAAUGCUAACAAAUAAAGUUGAAGACGUGGAUAGAUGAUUCUUCGUCACCGUUCAUCGCCGAUCUGUUCAGCAACAACCGGAAAACUCCAAAGCCACCGGAAACAGCUAGAACUUUAAACACAGAAGUCCAUCGGUUUUUAAUUAGAGAAUCCCAACAAACAUCAUCAUCAAAUUUGCAAAGAAAGGAUCUUCCAAAAGACAAUUGAUUCCCGAAUUCCAAAAACACAGCGGCACAGAUUUUACAAAAAUUGAUCAAAGCCAAUAAGAGUCCAUAAUUCAUUGAAAAGCUAUGAAUCAAUUCCUGUAAUUGCAAACUCAAAAGUAAAAGCAUCGAAUAAUACACUUCAUUAAGCGAUAAUUCGCUUCAAUCGAUAUUAUCAACACAUCCCUAAUAAAAUUUAUUGUAAGUAAAUAAACAACUGGAAGAAAAACAUAACAACGGCGGAGACAAACCCGAAAUCCGGUCAAGACGAUACUAUGUAAGCUACUGCUUCCGGAGUGGUGCCGACCAAGACGACGCUAAGGAAGCCAUCGCUGUCAGAAGAAAGCUAGCCAACUCCGCUAAAGUAGUCAGAGAUGCCAGACACGAGCCCACUAUGUGAGGAACAUGAGCCUUCGAAUCAAACCAGAAGGCAAAGGUUUGAUCGGAAAGUUUAGCUUUCUCUAAAAGAUAUUAAAGAGAGAAGAGAGAGAGAAACUUACCAUUGAUACACUUUAAUAGUCUAGGAAACAGAAAUAUUAUGAAACAUCAUGAUAUAUAAUUUGAUCCAACAAUCGGCAGAAACAUCUCAAAUUGAGUUCCUCUACAAGUGACCAUAGCCAAAUAACGAGCCACAGACUCGAGUAAAGUUGUCUCUUUGCCAAGAGUUGAGACUUGAUGCAAACUCACCCGAACCUCAUAUACUUAUGUACAAUACACGAACUCCAACACUCAUACAAGAAAUGAACAUUAACUAACUAAAUCCGCUCUCUGUGACAACAUUCCUACUAGUACUUGCACAACACAUCAUUUACACCAUUAGAGAUCGACUUGAGUUUAUGUUUUCUCUUUUCUCGGGUUUCUUAGUUUAACAGAGCGACAGGAGAGUGCAGCAGCACAUAUGUAUCGGCUCUUUUAUUCCUCUGGUAUGUCGGGUGAUCAUAGAAAUGAAUCAAGGUAGGAGUAGUUGUGGCGCCGGCUAUACUCAAUUAGACUUCCGUAAGUGCGGUCCCAAACGCCUAUGAAGAGUGCUUCUGUGUCGGGGCUAAAUGAUAUUCCCGAGAUCUCCCCAAAGAAGUCGAUCUCUUGCUCCGUUUCAUACCCGUUUGAGACAUCAUACACAUGGACAAAGUCAGCCGGCUCAGCCAUGGCCAUGUACUUCCCAUCAGAUGUGUAGCGAAUGGAUCGGAUUGCUCCAAGGUUACCCCUCAAGACAGCAACAGAUUUUGACAGGUUACGAAUGUCCCAAACCCGGCAGGUCUUGUCCUGGUUACCUGUGGAGAACGUGAAUCCAUCUGGGUGCCAUGCUGAUGCAAAGGAAAAGUCCAGAUGUCCUGAUAGCGUUGCCAGUGUCUGUAGAAAAUUCCAAAUUUAGUUAGAAAGCAUAUUUAUUCAGGGAUACGUAACACAGAGAUCGUUUCUGUACCUUUCCAGUGUUGGGGUCUACCAGAAGGCUUUCAGGGUUGUCUCCCACAAUCGUCAACAAUUUACCAUCAGGACUUAAAGAUGUGUGCUAUCAAUACAAAAACCCCCUUUCGUUAAAUAAUUUGGGGUGCAAUUACAUUUACAAUUUCGUAAUGUAAAAGAAGAUAUCAGAUUACAAAACGUAUUUGUAACUGAAACUUACUGCUACAAGCACUACAGAUCAACUUAUACCAAAACAAAAACAAAAAAAAAAUCAAGGAAAAAGUAGGGACUUACAUUCACCGGCCAUGGAAAGCGAAACUGGUUAACAAGCUGGUAUCUCUCCAUAUCAAAAUCUCUGACUCCACAAUCAUUAUUCGACGCAGUAAAAUGAAGUGCCCCACUGCAGACAGACAGACAUCAAAAAAUCAGUUAGAAGAGACAAGUUGGCAAAUACAACCUCAAGCAAAAGACAUGCAAAUACCUGGGUUUGUUAUAAAUCUCAAUAGCAUUGGUUAUAGCAUUAUCAUCAUAAGUAGUACGUGAACAAAAGCUCACACCAGGUCUAUCAAGAUGCUGAAAAUAAAAUCAAUGUGGAAAAAGAUGAAGUUCCUUGAUUAGAAUGCAUGUAAUUGUUGUGUGAAAAACUAAAAAUCCAUGAUUGUAAAACUCUAGAGCUUACCUUGCAUAUAAGUUCUCCUUGAAAUCCACCGGCAACUAAAAAUUUAUCUCUCACUGCGAGUGUACUCACUUGAGUCUUUGUAAAUCCCUCCAACAAACUUCCAGGAUGUUUCUGCACCCACACAAGAAAAAGACAACAACCAUUAAACUGAUGUAGGUAUUUAUAGAGGAAUCUUAUAUCAUUCAGGAAGAAACUAACCUCAGAUGGGGAAACAUGACCUUGAACAUUGAGAACAUCAUGCUUUCCGGAUGUCAAAGUAGAAUAGUGGCUCACCAAAUAUUGUGACAUAAGGUAGACAUCGUGCUUAGAAGUUGCCCAAACCAAAUUCCUCAACUACAAUAAAAAGAAAACAACUUUAGUUAGAUGUCCGCAUAAAAAUAGUCUAUGAAUCCAUAUCUUUUAAGCUUUAACUUAGGUAGACAGUUGUAGCAAUUUGUGCACCCUCAUUACCCAAACACAUGACAUACUGAUGGAAUUACCAAAAAAACAUUGACUCAAUAGAAAAUAGAUAUGUUUAAAUAAUAUGAACCUGGAAAUGAAGAAUACUUGAUUUGAUAGAUCUUGUAUUCCGCCAGAAAUCAUAAAAAAGAGCCCCUUUCUGUGUGGCCAUGCAAUCCUGAAUUCAUUAAGCAAAUGAUAAGUAUCAGUUGAAACCCAAUAUUAGUGAAACAUAUAGAAGAAAAAGAAAACCUACGAGACAUAGAGAAUGGAAGACUUACUUUCCCUGAAGAUUCCCCAGAGUUAGGGACAUUUUCAUAAUUUUUAUACUGUUCUAGUCUAGUUUGUCUGUAUGUCUCUCUCGUAAUACUAAGCCUGUCCCAAGGAAUCCCCUGGAUGUCUUUCCCUUUCCGGGCUUGGUCAGCUGAAGUGUCAGCUAUUUUAUUAUUCUGAAACCAAAGAACCCACACAACAGAGUAAGAGACUGCAGAAAUUAUUAAUUGACAUUAAAGCUAUACAUUUGACACAGGAAUUUUAAAAAUAGCUUAGCAAAUUUACAUUAGACUUCACACAGGAAUACUUACAGAGUAGUCAAACUCAUCGACAUCGGAAUCAGAGGCAGCCAUAUCAUCCCCACGAAAAUCCUCAUCUAAAUCAUCCUCAUCCAUUUCAUCAUCCACAUCUUCCAUGUACUCAGCAUCAUCCCCUUGAUAAUUAGACAUUCUUAAGUUGAUAAACCUACAUAUAUCAAAAAGCACCUUUAUUACUAAAAACUACGAAAGCCAGGGACCACAGAAGCUACAAUAUAGUAGAAUCCAAUAACACCAACAUACUUAAAACAUAAAAAUGUGAUUUAGUGAACAAUCAAGCAUGAAAACACCUAAUAGAUUACGACUCCAUGAGAUUAUAACAAUCUCCAACAAGCAAAUCGCUCAGAAACAAGGAUCAAACCUGCAAUCUAUGUACACAAAUAUCAAAGUCCAUUUCCAGAAACCAAAACUACCGACAUAAUCGAAGAUGGGAGAAACGAAACCAAAUAAUAAAUACUUCACAAGCCUCCUCAAGAACACAAACCCUACCAAUCGUAAAAUUCGAUUCCAAAAACUCAGGAACAAGAAAAAAUCAGAGGCGGAGAAAACCUAGGAUCGAUAGAUUCACCUGGCGAAGCAACUCGUGCAAUUGAAAACGGAUUCGUCAGCCAAAUCCAGAAAAAGGUAUGAUUCUAAAUUAAGUUUCGAGCUGCAUAAAUUAUCAUCGGAUCGAUUUCGAGCGAGUCCAGAGCACGAACGGAGAAGAAGAAGAAGAGAGAGAGAGAGAGAGAGAGAGAGAGAGAGAGAGAGAGGAAUAGCGAAAUUUAUCUUCGUUCACAGUGGAAAAGGACGGUCUCUAUUUUUUCUGAUUUAAAAUUUCCUUAUUUUGUUACUUAUUUUGACGGUUUUACCCUUAUAUAAUUCCAAUACAGGGUUCUGAUUACGAGGGCUGUUUUGUCUUUAUCUCAUUGGCCAUCAUUCAUUAUUAUGCAACCUUGAUGAUAUAUCAAACUCUAAUCAUAAACAUUAACAACUGCAAAUCCACUUGAAAUAUCAGAUUCUGAUAUAAAUGUUUUACUUAAUAAUAUAGUUUUUGCUUUCAUGUUAAACAAAAUGGAUUCUUCAGAGACUCAAGAGUGUUUUUCUCAUUAUCAAAAUACCUUGGGAAAGAUUUACAAAAUCUCAUUUGUUUAGCUUAGUGUAGUUUCUUAUCUACACUGAUUACAACAAAAGGAUUUGGUUUUUAAAAUUCUGAUCUCUCUCAAUCUAAAUUAUCACAGACAGGAUUGAUCAUCAGAGUCUUUCUCUGUCACUAUCUUCUUCUUCUUCUUUUUAUAACUUAAAAAGUGGAAGCAUAGGGACCUAUUUAGAAAGGCAAAAAAAAGUUGUGAAAUAAGUUAGAAGAGAAGGGAAAGAGCUAAAGAAACUAACAUGUCUUUUGUUUUCAAUUCUCUCUCUCUCUUUCUCUGUAUGUGCAGAUUUGUAUUUAUGCAAAACUCAGAUGUUCUCUUAUGGUUUAUUAACAGAACAAUCUUCUUCUUCUCUGCACAAAGAACAAUCUCGAGUGUUAGUUAUCUCAUCACAAUGUUCCUUGCUAUACUGAGGCAGAUUAGGUUCUUACGUGAAGUUGGGAGUCUCGUAUAUUUUGCAGCAUUUCAGUUAUCUCCAUCUGUUUCAUCACCGUGGCGUGUAAAAGCUGCAACCAAUGAAAAAACGCUUUUGAGUCCAUACUGAAUCUUUAAGUUUGAAGGUUUUAAAACUAACAGGAAAGGUAUCGUACCCUCUUUGUUUUGUCGAGAUCAAACUCAACUGACUUGAUUCUAUCUAAAGAAUCCAUCAACAUUCUCUCCUUCUCUACAGGUAUUGCAACGGGUUUGUUCCGAAUAUCCUCAUAACUUUUCUCCAGUUUCUGAAUACGUUCCAAACAUGGAAGAAUCCGGUCUUUCAUUGUGGGCUCUCUAGGAGGUGGUGAGAUGAGGCUGCACCGACUGUCAUCUUCUGUUAGACUUGAAGGGCUGACUGUAGUCUGGCUUCUCAGAAGCUCAAGCGGAGUAUAACGAAAAACUGCAGCUAGUUUCAGCAUUAACGAAAGUAGUCUUUUCGCUAGGUUCUCACAUUUUAUCUUGUCAAUCAUUACCCUUAAAUCAUGAAGCCAACGGAUGAUGGGAGCACCUAGGAGAUACCAGAGAGAAGAUGAAAUUCAAAAGGUGAGAAAACUAUAGAAGAAAUCUGUAAUAUUAGCACUGAGCAACAUUUGAAUUAAAAAAGGAGACAUAUAAAAUGAAAUUGUUUUAUGAGAAAAGCAUUAAUAAGAAGUAUAACCUGGUGAAGAUGUUUCACAUUUUAAACCGAUAGUUGUUGCAUUAAGUUCACGCAUUUGGUAUUGGGAUUGCCUUUCUUGGCCUUUUCGGUUAGUAGCUUUGUCAGGUAUGGCAAACUUGUCGUCGCAACUAUAAUAGCCAUUAACAUCUGAUGCCCUAGCCUACAUAGAUCAUACUGUUCUGGUCAGUAUCAACUAAGGUGUUCUGUGACAAAAAUGCACUAACACAAGAACUCACUUCCUCAUAAGCUGAAUUCACAUGAGAAGAGGCUGAGCAUAAUCUUCCAGUUGGAGAAGAAGGAACAUCAGAACAAGAUAUCGACUCUGCUGCUGAAGUCUCAGCUUGUAUAGCCUGAAAAUCCAAAGUUGCAUUGUCAUAUUAACCAUGAAAAAAGUUCUACGACAAACAGAGAAAUUGGCUAGAUAGAAUCAUUUACCUUUGAUGGAUGUAUACUUAUGUAGGAAGAAGAAUAAUGCGGGUCAGUCAGCUUUCUGGUGCUUUGCCUAAAAAGUGAUGAUUCUCCAUGGUAGAUGAGCUAAUCAAGGAAUAGAUCUAAAAUGAGCUUCAUGUACAAAGCCGAAAUAGAAUCUGAACUCCUACUUAAAAGUUCCUUAAGGAACAGCAUCCUCGAAAACUAACAGCAAAAUCUAAAAAGAUAUAGAUUUUACCUUCAUUAUUUCAGGAUCAUUCCAGGGUCCUUUAUUAGAGCGAAGACACCCUCCUCCAUCACCAAAGCAAGAGCAUGAACCUCCAAGGAAUUCUGGCAAUUGACUAAAGCACAGAGCACCAGAGCUCAUAAGUAUUGGCUAGACAUGAUUUCUGAAACUUUUCAGGUGCAGUGUAAAGAGAAAGAAAGCUACCUUGAAUCAAUGACUUCAUGUAACUUAAAUAGAGAUUUGGGCUCUAGCACCUGCAUUGACAGAGAUAAGAAAACUACACAUGGCAAUAGUUGACCAAAUAGAAAACUAGGCUGAAAGCUGUACGUGUAUCUUUGCAAUGGUCUUUGCAUCAAGAAACUUCUGAGCAGCAGGCCAAAGCAUCUUUUUGAAACCUGUUCCAGCAUUUACAAUGUACAUUCUGUGCAACGUCUGCAAAAUAAUAUGAUGACUUCAAACAACUGGGAAUGCAUGUGAAGAACAUAUGAGAUGUAAAAUUGAGAAAGUCAAGUACCUCAGGGUAGUAACUGUUGUCUAUCUUCGACAUGGCAGCCACAAGAUUUGCAGCUGUUGGUGUAAAGUUCUUAAUUCCCUGUCAUUAACAUGACACUUCACAGAUAAGAAUCUAGAAGCACUAAAGGUGCAAGUUCUGCUUCAGAGCAUAACACAAUGCAAAAAUAUUCCAAAGCUUGGUAAGAACUUAAAUAAUUACCAAUCCUUGCACAUCCAGUAUUGUAGUUGUGGAACAGAUUCGACGCUUUGCAGCAAUUGAGCAUGCAGGGAAUUUCUCCUGGAGAGCUCUCUCAAACUCUUGCACAUGGUACUUUAAAUAUCUAUCUAUGGUGGUGAUACGCAUAAGCUUAGAGGGAUGAGCUUUUCCAAGUCUUUCAAUGUAGACAGGUCUUCCUUCCUUAUCAACUCCAUGAUAGCCUUGAGGAUAGUAUUGCAAAACUUCUUCAAGCUCUUCGAAAUCAAAAUCCUACCAUUCACAUACAUAGUAAAAUUAUAAGAGUUAGAUAUUGAUUCCAUCAACUAAUCCAGAGAAUGAUUAGAUGCUUGCAUCCAAAUACCAAGUAUGUUGUACACAAGAAAUUACUUCUUUUUUUCAUAUGGAAACAAGCAGGUUUCAAACUUAAAUAAAUGACUCCUAACCUCUAGUAUGGUAUCUGUCCCAUACUCUUUUCUCCAUCUAAGCAUUUCUUCCCACAACUGGGUGGUUUUUUCAAUGUUAAGAUCCCUAGCUUUCAAAAACCUACAUUUUCAAAAUGAAUAAUUGAUUAGCUUGACAGUAUUAGCAACACAUCAUGUUUUUAGCUAAAGCGACCAGAGUGUGUAUGUAGCUACUAUAGAACAGACAAACCUCAGAAGAGUAUGGUACUCAUCAUGUCUAGGAGGUAACAAAUCUCUCUCAAGAAGCUUACGGCGGAAUUCAAGCACAACGCUCUCCUCUUUUUCAUCCCUUACAUCUUCAAUGGAGACUGCAGGAACCCGAUAGUCAAUUUUCCUUUUCCCCCGUUUCUUCAAAGAAUGAGUGAACUUGGUUGAAGCAUUAAUGGCUUUCUUCUUCAAAUUCCCUAUUUUUGAGCGCCGUCUCUCAUCUUCUGAGAUUUCAAAGUCUGAUCUUCUUUCCCUAAAUUCGUCAAGUGUACUGAUUUCUUCAACACCUUCAAUAGAAAAGAAACAAAGUCUCAGUAAACUGCAAAGUCUCAGCAAAUGAGAAAAUCUAAUCAAACAACGAAAUUUACCUGACAUAUCAAUUCAAAGGGAAAGCUUAUUGAUGCUAAACGAGCUCAGAGGACAUGCAUGUGAGUCAUACGACCAUCACUUGUGAGACAAAACAAACCUGGAGAAACAAAAGACAAAACUUGUCAAAACAAAUUAAACCAAGAAUCAUCAUAACUUUCUUGGGUUUUGAAUCAAAAGUAAAUCUUCCUGUGAUUACAUUAAAUACAUAUCUCUUUUACACGGCCAUAGACUUUCAAAGCAAAGGAUUCCUCGUGAACAUAAGAACUAAAGCAGUACCAAACCCACAAGAUAUUUGCCUAAGCCAUUAACCACAAAACAGAAACAUAAAAACAAAAACUUGUGUAAACCUUUUUUUGUUCUUGUCGAUAAAUUAGCAGAAACCCAGUAAAAAGCUCCAGAUCUGCAACUAAAAGUGGGGCUUAAGAAUCCAUUUUCACACGAUUUCUCUGCAUUAAAGACUUGUCUUCAAUCCUAAUAAAAAAAAGACAUUACUUUAGCUAUCGCCAUAAAUGCAAAUCUCAAGACUUUAAAUGAGACAGAAACCGUUAAAAAGAAACAGUAGUAAUCAGAAAACGUCGAAAUCAAAAAACCAUCAUACUCUGUUAUUCCGCUGAAUCAGUGAUUCGGAAAAAACAAUAAAAACGUUAGAUUUCGCAGUAAUGCCGAUUGAAGAAGAACAAUACGGAUGAGAUCUCAACCCUCGAUUCUCGGAAGGGGUAACAGUAAACCCACCGACAAACCAAAAAAAAAACAGAACCGAAACAGAACUCUAAUUAAAACUCUGUUUUUACCUUAAUGUGACACGAUCUCUUCGAUAACUCUCCAAAUCCGAGAAAGAUAGAGAGAUUCUCAAACACGCAAAGAUACGAAAGUUUGCAGAGAAAGUAAAGCAACAAGCAAAAGGAUUCUUCUUCUUCUUCUUAGACGAUGAUUACACGAGGAUGCAAAAAGGGAGAUGCGGAGAGAGGAAAGAUCUGAAAUUUCUCGCGUGUGUUGUUGUUCUUCUUCUAUCUUCUGCUUCUUUACUCUUUUGAGUUUUCGCUACUACUUAAUAAAUUAAUAUACUCUUCUUUUCUUUUCUUUUGGUUCAUUUUGAAAGAAAAAAAAUUCUUUAGGUUUGGUAAUAUUGUGUGUAGUGUUGGGUCCAAUGGUCCUUAUCAGAGUGAACAAAUGGAGAAAGAAGGUAAAAGAAAGUGUGCAUUGGCAGCGUUGGUCAGUAGCUUUUUGUUACCCUUGGUCUGUCUCUAUUUUGCAUGCGUGUCCUUUUCUUCCCCCAUGAGUAUUUAAUUAUUGAUUUCAAUGUCUAAUAAAUUCACCCCAACAUGUAUAUAACUUUCGUUUUUCCUUAGAAUUUGUUUUCAUAAACUGUUUAAUAUGUUUUAAUACCACAUUUGUUUUCCCCAGUGUCAUUUACAUUAUUCUUUUUUUUUUGUUACAAGUCAUUUAUAUUAUUCUGUUAUUAAAAUGCACAAUCUGUAUUCUGUAGUAUUUUGUUUUGAAAGCAUGUAGAUAGUGGGUUUGUUCAUUCCCAAACUUGAUUUAAAUCAUACCCUUAAGAUACUGCUUUGUUCAAGUUUAGGUUUUUUACAGGUACUACAAGAUUUUUUGGUUGAUUUACUAGAAGAUAAUUAGUUUUUGUUUUUUAAGAAAGUCCCUCUACUUUUUCGGUUUAAGUUUAGACUUCUUCAAAACAAUUAUGUUUAUCAAGAUGUUAGUCGCUUUAUUUCGAAAAUUUGAAAAAUUAUCUUGGAUUGUUUUAUUUCAAAUCGAUUAACUAGUUAAUAACUUCGUUAUUAACGUCAAGUGCUUAAAAACUUUAGUUGGAGAGUAUCCUAAAUUACUAUCCUUUUUCAGCUAUUUUGUUUGACGUUUUAUCUAAUUCUAAAUCUAUUUAAUGGUCUGGUAGUCAAUAAACUAAUAAAAAUAAUAAGUCAAUGAACCAAAAUUAAAUGGCAAAAAUACGUUGAAUAAAUAAUUAGUCAAUAAUCUUUGUAACGUAUACGAUAUGACAAUUAGUUAAGUUUUUCGUAACGUUUUUUAAUUUUCUAGAAGAAAUGAAAAGGGUGGUGGUAAUUAACUGGAGUAAGUUGACUUUUUCGGACAACCACAUAUGGAUAUGGACACGUGUCAAUAUUCCUCAGCCUGAUUAAUUUAAUGCAUGCAUCCCAUCAUUUUAGAUUCAUACUAGGAUUGUCCAUUUCUUAACCAUUAAAAGAAAAUACUAACAUUCUUAUAAAUUUAUUAUCAUUAUGUUAUGUGUUCUUCUCAUAAAUAUACGUACAUUACUCAGCUCCUAUAUGUUCUUCUUUUUUUCGAACUUUUUUUUAUUUUAUUUUUCGUUAUCAAAAGUUUUCACUCGUAUAUUAAGUUAUCAACACUUAUCAAUUAGUUACCAUAUAUUUUCAAUAAAUCUUUUUGUUUUAUUUUUCACUAUUCGUAUUUGUUUUUGUUUGCAAAUAAAAACGGGUCCAGCAAUAAAUGAGAAAGGUCCCAUCAAAACAUAACAGUACGUUCAAGAAAUUGUACAGUUUCGAAUAUAAAUUCAGUCGGCAAGAAAUAAAAUUUACAUCAUUAUCAAAUGAUUUUUUAUUUUAUUUUUAAUGAUUACUGUUUUACUUUUACCGCUCUAAAACGACACAAGACACUAUCGUUUUUUUCUUCUGUACAAACGCAUCAUCAAACCAUCAUUCGCCAUUAAAUUUUUCACUUGGUUUCUUCAAUUGCGUGCCGACAAAUAAAAAUCCAAGUUAAAAAACAUUUAAUGCUCUGAAAGUCUCACCAGCAAAUUACCACAGUACUUAUUACAUAAUUAUUGGUAUAAUAAGAUUUCUCAUACUUUUGCGGGGAAGUCACUUCUCCAAAAUUUUAUUAAAAAAAUACUAAAAUGUUUUUGCACGAGUAUAUUACAAUCUCUUCUAUUUGGGGUUUAGAUUUUCUGCAAUCUAUUUGAAAUGUUGUUUCGUUUUCAGUUUAGUUUCCAAGAAACUAUUCCUUCGACUUAUGUUUCUGAACUUUUUUCUUCAUCUUCGGACUUGGUUUCUCUUGUUUAAGAUUUAGAUUCUGAGGAUAUCUAUGUGUUUUGCCGGUUUAAAAUUUGUAUCUCAUGUAUCCUUUCAAUUUAUUAUCAAUAAAAUGAGAUGAUCAAAUAAAACAAUUAUACACGUAUAAAAUACACGAAGCUAGUUUUUUCAAUGAAAUAUGUUGAGAUAUUGAAAAUAAAAUUUUAAAAAAUGGGGAAAUGAAAAACUAGGAAAGAGAUAAAAGAAAGAUUUGGAAGGGGAUAUAGAGAAUCCAAGAAUUGAGAGCAACUUGACAUCGUGACAAAGAAGAUGGCGAAAUCUCCGUUUUGCAGUGCAGUGCUGACCAAAAGUCCUUUCCUUUUUGAAUAAAAUUUUACAAAAUUCAAUUAUAAAAAAAAGAAUCAAAGGAAAUGUCACUUUCUUCACAGUGUUGACAGCCAUAAAUAAUAUCUACCCCAUUCCAAUGCCCCAAAUAUUCUGCAGUUAUUAGUCGUUUUCGUUGCCCCUUGCACUUUGUACUUACAUUUUCUUACGUUUUUUCAAAAUACUUCACAUUUUUAUACCGUAGAGUUUGGUAUAAUUAAUUAUUAAGAAUUCCUUUAUUUACAUACAGUCCAAAAUGUGUUUCAUGUCGCAAAGAUAUCGUUAAUGAACACUACACGAAAAAUAUGGAAUCAUACAACAUAUCCAUGCUUAUGAAGAGAGAAUAAGAUUUUUUUUAUUAAGGUUUUGCUAUUGAAAAAUACAUGGUUCUUUGAUCAUAUAUAGUCUAAUAUUUUAUUUUUUUAAAUGUAAGCUAAUCAAUAGAGAUUAUAUAUAUUGUACCAAAACUUGUGAUUAAUACUUAGAGUCCGAAUGGUAACCGCGGUUUUUGUUGUGCGGGGAAAGCGUUAUUGUAGUGCGGUACGGUUCAAUUACGGUACGUGUGGAAGAAAUAUAUUUGCGGGACAAGUGCGGUUUGUACAAAAUAAGCGGUAUAUAAUAAUGUUUGAUUCGUGAAAAAAACUAUUUGUGGUACGGAUUAUAGAUUAUAUAUAUUAAUAAAUAAUUAAUUUUUUGUGUUAAUAAAUAAACAAUAACAUAUAUUAAUUUUUUGUGUUAAUAAAUAAAUAAUAACAGUUUGAAAUUCUGAUGAAAUUAUGUAAUCCCACUGUAGCAAAACAGUUUGAAAUUCUGAUAACAAAACGUAAAGGAAAGUAUGAUGAUGUAAAAAAAAAGAGAGAGAAAAAAGACAGGUUACAAGAAAGUGAAAGAAAAAUUUAAUUAUUUUAUUUGGGGUAAAUAAAUAUUAUAUAUAUGAGUAUAUAAAUGCUUUUAAUAAUUAAAAAAUAAAAAAUAGAAACAUAUGUGUAAAACUCAUUGCGGAAUUCGUUGGACCACAUGGUUAAAGGAGUUUGUUGUUUUGAAAAGCGGUUUACAAGCGUUUACUCUGUUUUGAAAAACGCAAAUUGUAUUUGGGAAGAAAAAUAAAAAACGUACAUGUGUAAUAAAUAAUGCUGAUUGGUAACAAAAGUGAGGUUUUCCAAAUUAGGUGUUGAAAUACGCAAUUUUUGUGUCGCCAAUCACAACUUUUAUAUAUAUAGAAACAUUCAACUACAAAUAAAAUAGUUUUUAACCAUACUAGUUUGUCACAAAAAAAACUACAAAGAAUUUGUAUUCUCAAAGACUUGUGAGUUUUGCUUUUCCUGAUUCACAAGCAAUCUUCUUUUUUUCUUCUUCCUAAAUAUUUCUCGAAUUCCAAACCUUAUUACAUAUUAAAGUCAAAUGCGCCGGUCUUCUUUGUUAUAAAGAAAAAGUGCAAAAUCUCUUCUCUAAAAGAUUGUGUGAUAUUGGGUCCUACUACAACGUAAACUGAUGGAACAAUGAUUCCGACAAAUUUUGGGGUUAUUAGUUUUAAUUAUUUCUUUGUGAAAAAAUAGUUUUAUCUAUUACUAUCACUGUCUGCAUGAGAUUAUUCAAUAAGAACUAUUAGACCAUUUUUAAUGGUGGGUUCUUAGUAAAAUUCUUAACAUUUUUAUGUACAAAAUAAUAGUAAAAUAUUAAAGGUUUUUAAUAGGAAAACAGAGUGUAUCAAAAAUCUCUUAGUUAAGAGCCAAUUUAACAUUUUUAAGAACCCUUUCUAUUUUUUUAUUCAUAUUUUAUUUUAUAUAAUAUUUUAAGAGUUUUUAAAACUUUUUAAGAACCCAUUGUUAAUGAUGCUCUUAUUUAUUAGUAUACGAUGUCUUGACAGGAUUUUCUUUUUCUGUUAACAAUAUUUUCCCGGUGUUUAUCUUAAUUUUUUAUGCAAUAUUGAAAAUUCUUAAUUCUUAUAUAUAUAUAUAUAAAGAUAAAACAAAACGUUAUAUGUUUUUUUCUUAAAAGUGUUGGUAGAUUGUAUAACAACAUUUUCUAUACUGUAUUAAUUUUAUUACACACCACUUUUACUUUUGUUUUUCAGAUAUAGUCAAUUAUUACAAAACACGGCAAAAAAAUAAAAUUUUAAAGCGUUUCAUAAAUUAAAGAUUCUAAGUCAGUUGUAAUGAAGAUUCUAACACUCUCCAAAACCCUUGCUUAAACACUUUUUGGUAUUUUCAAGUAAUUUUGGAAAGUUGUGGCAGUUUUAAAAAUAUGAUAGUUUAAAGAUAGUACUUGAAAGACUUACUUUUCUACAUAAAAGAGUUACUAAUAACAUAAUUAGAUGAAGAACAUCCAUGUUGGGGUUUUGGAUCGCUUUGAGAACAAGGCUGACACAGUCUCUUUAAUCCAUGGAGUCAACUCUUUGCCUUCUUUUUCUUUUCACCUUUACAAGUUUUGAACUGUUCUUGUUCUUCCCGUGAAUAUUGUGUUGCUAAACUCGAUGAAUAUUUUUAAAUAAAGUAUUAUUACACACAAUACACCAAUUACCAAUGUUCACAUGUAAAGUUUUACUGUUAUUUAGAAAUGUAGAGAUUAUUCUAACACACAUAUCUAUGAGUAUACAUAUAUGGACUAGUAAGUCAGACUGUAACUAAUCAAAUUAUUAAAAUCAAUCCGUACAGUAGAACUAGAGUUGGUAAUGUGGUGGUAACUGUUAAAAAACGAAUUUAUAUUGAUAGGCUAGUGGGUUAAAACCAACGUGUGUCCCACAAAGUGAAAAAGAAUUGGAAAUUUCACUGUUUAACUUUUGGUUAUGUUAAGUAACUGAAUGGUACUAUAGUUUUUACAUUUUUUGACUGUUGGAACCAAAUUAAAGAGAUAUUGAAGGACCAGACUAAAGAAAACGAUGUGUGGUUUUAGUUCUUUCUGCCUAUAUAUGGAGAAUGGAGUAUAUUGUAUGCAUGAGGUCCACUUCGUAAGUUUUUUGGAAGUAUUGAAAACGAUCGACAUGACACAGCUCAUACCCUCGUUUUGCAAUUGACGAGUGUAACUUCUCGUCGUUUUGCUUCGUCCCAAACCACGUGCAUUUCUCUUUCUUGUCAUUCCCCUUUUCCAGUACUAAUUACACACUACAAAACUAGUUUUUUUGGUGUUAUUAUGUUUUCGACGUUGCUAUGUCUUUUUAAUAUAUUUGAUUUCAACAAGUGAUAAAAAAGUAAAUGAUAAUGAUUUGCUGUUGUUAUUUACUCCGUAACAAAUUAACAAUUUAACAAAACUACUAAAAUUUUAAUUAUAUUUAAACUUAAAAUUUAGACUUUUUGAAGAGAAAACUCUUACAUUCUAAAUUUUGAGAGACAAUUUUAAAAGUAUCAUUUUUAUGUUACUGUUUGUCAAAAAUACCACUAUUUUUUUGUCAUUUUUAAGACAGCACAAAUACAAAUUUGUAUUCUUUUAUAAACUUUUAUAAACCAUGUUGUCAAAAAUGUUAUAUUUUAUUUUAUAUAAGGUUUUUGUAACAUACGUUUAAAUAUUCAUAAAAUUAUAUAUGAUUUUAUAAGACAUGUUCUGAAUAAUAGUUGUUUUACAUUUAAAAAAAAAGUAAUUUCUAUUCAAUUUAAAAUUGUUACCAUUCAGCUAUCAUACAGUCAUACUUUUCAGUUGUUAAUCUGACAUAUCAGUCAAACUCCUAUAUUUUAAGUUUCUUAACCGGUGUUGAUAGCGGAACACCGUAAGUUUGGCAAUAUAAGUAACUAAAUAUGUAGUUCAAUUAUAUAGUAUCAUCUACUCUACUGUCGUUCAAAAGGAAAGUUAAAACUUUAAUGAAAAUCAUAUAAUCUGUUGCCGUGUUGCGCAUCAAACAAACAACAAAAUAAAAAGGCUUUAAUGUUCAAACUUCAAACUUAGACUUGGGUAUAUUCAUCUUGGGCCGUGAUGAACUCUCUAAUUCUCUUUGAAAUUUGGUUAUGGGCCUUAUAGCGGUCCAUUUAGUAGUCAGAAACUAAAACAUAAAAGGAGACUCUUUGAGAUGACAAUAAGCGGUAGGGGUGAACAAUACAAAAUACCGCAACCAAGAAAAUUGAACCGUUCAACCCGAAUUCAGUUUUUAUUUAAUUCACAAAACCACUUGAUUUUAUUAUUUUCUUAGAGCACAAAAUCAAGUGAUUUUGGAGAAUAAUUAUUUGUAAAUCCACAAUUUGAAAACAACAGUCAACCGUCAGAUUUAUAUUUUUGUAACCUAACUCAACCAAACCAAAUAAUCCAUAAUAAUAUAGUAAAAACUGGAAAUUUCCAUCAUUAACUUGAAAAUAUGGAAGAUUGAAGAGAUUCUUACUCGAAAGAUAGAGUUUGAAUAGAGUUGGAAAUGGUCUGAAACAUAUAAACCCAUAAACGACUUUGUCCAGUCUCAAAAGUAUAAAUAAUGAAAAUAACACUCACUACCAGUCUUUGAUUAAUAUGUAAAUAAUUUGCUUUUAAAAAAAAUGCUAAACUCUUUUAAAAUAAAUUAUAUAUAUGAAAUUUGACCAAUUCUCUUACUAUAAAUAUCAUAUCAUCACACAAGAAAAUGACAUUUAUUAUUUUAUAUUAAUUAAAUAAAAAUUAAUUUAGGAAACAUUAAAAAUCUUUUGCUGUAUUAAAUCAUCCAUUAAUUACUGAUUUUUUUAAAACAUCCAACAAAGUAAAAAAUCAUACUAAUGUAUCAAGCACUACUUUCAUUCUACUAUAUUUAUUUUAUUGAAUUUUGUUUUAUCAAUAUUCAUUACUCCAUAAUGGCUAAAAUUUUAAUUUUGUUGUACUUUAGAUGUUUGCUACCUAAUCUCAUAUUAAUUUAGUAAUUUUACCUUGAAUAUUUUAUUAUUAUUACGUUUUGUAAAUAAGACUUAUCAUAUAACAUUUUCUUUCUUUUUUUUAAUUCUUGUAUGUUAUGUGGUUACAAUUGUUUUUCACGCAAUGAUCCUUUGAAACGUUAGACAUACAAAAAAAAUUAAAACAUGAGACUCUCUCCAAUAUGGCUAUAUGUAAGGGAAUAUAUCUAAAGUGUUAACUUAAAUUACUAACAUAUCAUGAUGUGGUUUGUGUAUUAGAUGACGCGAUAGUACAUAAAAUAAAUAAUUAAGUUAGACAAGUUUCAAACCACAUAAAUAACUUUAUUUAUAUAUAUUGUAUCAAUAUAUCAUAUAUUGUUGUUGUAUGUGUUCAUGAUAGUGAAAGAUUAAAUUAAUAUGUAUAUAAAUAAUUAGAUUUAUAUAUAAAAAUGUAAAGUUGAUAUUUAAAGUUAUAAAUAAAUCUAAUCAUAAAAAUUAUAACAACAUAAAUAGAUAUGAAUUUAUUAAUUAGAUAAUAACACACACAAAAUGAAAAUAAAAAUAACAAAAACUAUAAUCAUAUUUUUUUCCUACAAAUUUAAAAAUAAAAACCCAUGCAUAGCAUAGAUAUUCAUCUAGUAUUCUUAAAACAUGUGUGCGGACCUAGUAAGCAAUAUAUCAAAAACUAAACACAUCAUAUGAUCGUUCACUUAAGAAUAAACACCAUACGAUGAGAAUGAUACCUGAUUUUGAAUUCAUAUAAUUUAGAUUUGAAUAUAAAAAAUGGGAGUUUAUGAAAUGUUUCUAGAUUUCAUAAGAAUACAUCAAGUAUUUUGAGAUUUCCAUAAACAUUUUUUUUAGCACCCAGAAAAAAGUAGUAUGAAUUAUUAAUUUAUACCAAUUUCGAUACUCAAGUCUUUAAUUUAAAUUUAAAAUUUUAACCUAUAUGCUCAUAGAUAUGUUUUCUUUUAAAUUAUGAAAAUAUUUAAAUCUAAAUAAUUCCCAAAUAUGUAAUUCUAAUUUUCACAUGUUCGAAUGAAAAAAAAGAGAUAAAAAUAAUUUUAAUUCCGUUAACGUACAUUUCAAUAUUUCAUAUAGUUUGUAAACUGAAUAUACGGUUCACACUUUUGUAUACUCUUUUUAAUAAGUAGUUAUAUUGUGUAAAACAUAGUUAGUAUAUUUUAAUGGAAUAUUCCUUUAUUUUGAUUUUUAUAGAUCUAGCUAUCGUGGAGAAGUGAAUUUUUUUUCAAAAAAAUGAGUGAGAAAUUUUCUAAUGACAGAUGCAUUUAUUAUAGUUUGCAAGUAGUACCGCACCAGACGCACCUUGUCUGAAGGGAGUAAAUCCGAGAACACGACUUUGUCCAAUCUAAAAAGUCAAACUAGUUAAAAUAUUGUCUAUUGGUCUUUGAUUUAAUGUAACUCAAUUUGUUGGUCUUUAGGAAAUAGUACUAAACUCUUUAGGUGACAGCUAAAGCAUGUCUGGUAUGGUAAUGGUAUCCUAUGAUUAGCAAAGUCUCGCCUUAACAAAUAAGAAUAAAAGGGAGUAAACCUAAGAAUAUAUGCAGAUCUAAAAACUCUUCACUUUCUCCUUCAUUUGCUAAAAAAAACAAAAAACAAAUGGAAGAAAUCACAUUGAAGUUAAGUUCUCGUGCUAUACUGGUGUGUCGUCAAUCUGAUCCCUCUCAGUCGACGCACUUGCUUUCUCGACGAUAUGGUGGUCAACGAAUGUCUAAAUGCCUCAUUUGCAGAACCAAGAAACAUCAUCGCACUAAGUAUCAUCUCCAUUGUGAUACCUGCGAUUAUGAUAUUCACAAGUCCUGUUAUCUCUUACCAAGAUGUCGUUCAAUGCCUUUAACUAGGCCUCACACUCUCCGUGAGGGAAACGAUUAUCACAGUAGUUGCGACACAUGUGGAGACGAGGUCUCCGAAAAUGAUCGGAGCUAUCAUUGUCCUACUUGUGAAAUGUGUUACCACAAGGUUUGCAACUUGUACCCGCAUGAGAUCAGACAUCCUUUUCACGCCCAACAUCCUCUGAAACUCACCUUCUCCUCAGAUUCUUCUUUUACUGAUUUGAAGGAGCUGCCCGCUUCAUGGCAAGAGGAACCCUCCGACUCCGAAACAGAGGACUCCGAUGCGUCAGAUGAUGUCUCCUCAGAUUCUUCUAUAUCCGAUGAUGUCUCCUCAGAUUCUUCUAUAUCCGAUUUGAAAUGCAAAUGUUGUCAGACGAAUCUCCAAGAGGUAUACUAUCACUGUUCUAUUUGCAAAUUUAACCUAAACCUCACUUGUGCUAGAAACCCACCACUUUCCACUAUCUCUCAUCUCAAGAGCCAUGAGCACCCCCUCUCCAUUUUUCCUAGACGAAUCCCUUUGCCAUGUGAUGCUUGUGGCUUGUCUCUUGAAAACACCAAUGAUUACGUCUAUGCUUGUCUUUCAUGUAACCUCAUGGUCCACAUGGCAUGUAUCUUCUUACCACGUGUUAUUAAAAUCACCCGUCAUCAACACCGUUUAUCUCUCUCUCCCUCUCUUCCUUCCGGAAUAUACCCUUGUGGCGUCUGUCGCCUUACCAUUGAUGUCACCUAUGGGCAGUUUUCUUGCAAUAGGGGAUGCCACUAUGCUGUCCAUUCCAAAUGUGCAAUAGAAGAAAGAAUAUGGGACGGAAAAGAUCUUGACGGAGUUCCAGAAGAACCUGAUGAAGACGUCGAGCCAUUUGAGAGGAUUGAUGACAAGACAAUACAACAUUUCAGCCAUGAGCAUUAUCUAAGACUCAACAUCAGAAACGGAGUUUUUGAUGCAGACAGCUUCUGUCAGGCAUGCAUCAUACCAAUCUUAGAGUCUGAAAGUUUUUAUGGUUGUACGCAAUGCAGCUUCCUUCUCCACGAAGCAUGUGCUUCCUUUCCUCGUAAAAAAGACCAUCCGCUACACAAACACCGGCUUAUACUCCAUCCAAUUCCUCCUAAGCCACUUGAGGUCCACAUGAGAAUGAUGGGGGGUAAAUUGUAUUCGCGAAAUGUCAAAGGCAUGUUCAAUUGCAGUGGUUGUGACCAAUUAGGUUUUGGUUUCAUGUACAUAUGCAGCGAAAAAGGCUGCCGAUUCCAAUUAGACGCACGAUGCGCUUCCCUUCCGGAUCCUUUUAUACAUGGAAGCCAUUCACAUGAGCUCUUCUUUAAUCUCACAAAGGGAGAAUGCAUGGGGUGUGAGUCUAGUCAUUGUUCACCUUAUUCCCUUGAGUGUAUGGAAUGCAAGUCAUUCUUGGGCCUAAAAUGCGCUACUUUGCCAAGUAUGACACACUACAAGCACGAUAAACAUCCACUCGCUCUUUGCUACGGGGAAGAAGAUACAACAAAUGCUCAAUAUUGGUGCGACAUAUGUGAGGCGAAAUUAGAUGCAGAAGAGUGGUUCUAUACAUGCAAUGAUUAUUGCAAUGUCACGGUUCAUGUUAGUUGCUUACUGGGAAACCCAAUCUUCUUGAAGCCAACGUCCUUCUACAUAAAACAAAAACGUUCAACGGUCUCAGUUAUUCGUAACAAUGAUAACACUCGAGCAAUUUGCUAUAGGUGUGAUCGUCGUUCCACACAACCCUUUUUCUUUCGGUAUUCAGAUUUGGUGUCUUCGUGUUCUUUUAAUUGUUUGUGGGAUAGAGUACUUAAAAUUAUAUAGUACUAGAAAAUGUCCUACGCGAUGCGUGGGUGAAAUGAAUGUAGUGAAAUAUAUGUCUAUAACUAAUAUAUAUUAAUAUAAUAUUAAAUUAUUUUAUAAUACAUUCAAUAAAAAAUAUCAUAAAUAUUGUGAUUAUGAUAUUUUAGUUUUAAACUAAACAUUUAGUUUAUGAAUUCUAAUCUAAAAUUUGGGUAUUUAUAAAUUAAAAAUUAUCGAAUUGAUCAAAAAAGAAAAAUUAUAAUAUUGAUAUACAAGAUAAGCCUUGUGUUUUAUUUAAAUAUAUGAAAAUGAUAUGCAAUAUUUCUCUGAGUAAAAGAUUUCAUAAUUGUAUAUAUCAUAUUGAUUAUAGUAUGUGUGUAAAUUGUAAAGUAGUUAAUAAAUUUGAAGUUGUGAGAUUGAUAAAGUCUUGAUUAAUGAGUAAGAUUAACAUAUAUGAAUAUUGAUAUAUUAAUACUAAUUGAUAUCAAAAGAACUCUAAAUACUUUAUACAAUUAAUAUUCAAAUUAUUUACUAUUUCUUCCAUCUUUGAACAAUAUGGUAAGAAAGUAUUGAAUUUAUUUACUAAUGAUUUAUUAUAUACACAUGAUUUUUAAUAAAGAAGUUUAAAGUUAUUUCGAUGCACAUAAUCAAAUAUUGAAGAAAAUAUACCAUAAUUCGGUUGAAAACUAAAUAAAUUUAAAAUUUAAAGUACAAUGUAACAAGUAACAACAUACAAAAUAAUUUAAAUUAACAGAAUUUCCCACCAAUGAUAUCAAUGAAGAUUAUAUAUUUUGUAUAGUUUCAUCAUUCAUCAAAUCUCGUAGGUUCUAUAUUAUCUUUAUCCAUGUAAUUUCUUUCUAUAUUACCUCAUUUGCCAACAAAUGCAUCAAAAGACGAAUUAUUAUGGUCACUAUAAAACUUAAGAAACGAAAUAUAGUGUAAAUUUAGCAUGAUAAGUAAAAGAUAAACAUUCUUUCAAUUACUACGAUUAGUAAAAUGAGUUAUAAGUUACUGUUUAGAACAUAAGAUCAAUAAUAAAUCAAAUGUGUACAAAUAGGAAUAAUGUUUGUAUAUUAAACUAUAAACUAAAUGAAAGAGACGAAAAUUAAAGAAGUAGCCACACAUUAAAAUAAAAAGUGAAUAUAUUAAGCAGGACCAACCAGGAAAUAUCAUAUGGAUCCAAUAAACAUUUGGCUAUAUAUGUUUAUCAUUUGGUUGAGUACUCACUGUUGGUAUUUUUCAUUGAAAAACUAAAAUAAUUUUAAAGAUUAAUAUGAAUUUUAGCAACUUGACAUAAAUAUUUUAUAAACAACAUUGGUCAACUUCAAAACAUGAAGAAUAAGUAGAAAAUGAAGGUAAAAGUUACCUUGUUUCUCAUGUAAAAGUGAGAAGGUACCUUAGACAUUUUUCAUCAAGUCAUUUCUAAAGGAAAUCCACCUUUCACAUAUUCACUUAUGCAUAUACUCUAAAAUUUGACUCAACCUCUUUAUUUCAAGAUAUUCACAUAAAAUUUUGUUUUUAAAGAUAUUCAGUUAAAUAUAUAUAUAUAUAUAUAUGUAUAUCCAUUAAUACUAUGUUUAUAUCCUCUAUUAAAAUAUCAGACAUGUUCAUAAAAUAGCAGGUUGAAGACACCGGGUUCCCAUGUCGAACCACUAAAGUGAAGCUAAAGGCCUUUGACACCAUUUACUAAACUUUGAAACUUUGACUAUGGUUAUGACUCGAAUAGUUAAAACACAAAUAGCUGGAGAAAAAAUUAGAACCAUGACAUUAAAUAAAAUAUACAUCACAGAUGAGCAUCGAGCAACACAUAUAUGAUUUGCCUACCUAUUACCUUCAUCAUGAACAGAAAUUCUCAGUGUAAUGAUUGCUAAGAAAUUCUUAGUGUAAUAAUUUUUAAGCCACUUUGUAUCUACCAUUGCACCUAUAAAAGGAUGUAUUAGCAAAAACACAUGAAACAUGUUAUAAAGAAGAGAAGUAACAAAGUGUGAAUCAGUAUCACCACAUUUGGACGAUACAAAGGCUACACAAAACAAAUAUUAAAAUUAUAAAAAUGAGAGAGAAACUUGAUUUUAGUUCAUUUCUUUGGUGAAAAUGAGAAAAAUAAAAAACAACGUAAUACAGAGGACGAAGCAAACCUUUGAGAUUACCAUUCUUUGGUUUCUCCAAUCCGUCAUACUCAUAUGGUUCGUGGUUUGUCUUUUUUUCUCUUUACUUUCAAUUUAAUUAUGUGGAAAGACUUAGCAGACCACAAAAUAUUAUUUCGGUGUUUAAACAAUCCCGAAAGCAACACAGAAUGAUAUAAGUUUAAAAGGAGUUGUAAGAAACAAACCUUGAGGAACCGAUGUUGAUGUUGUUCCUAUGAAGAAUCCUACCAGGAGCAACGGCACCACCAUCGAUCAACUCUCUAAGCCCCCAAUUCUCCACGUCCUCUUCUUUCACCUCCUUCUUCUUCUCCUUCUCCACAUGGCGGUUAUUAGGAAGCUUCACAGGCAACCUCUCGAAGUAAUUCCUGAAACUUACCAUGCACGUUUUUAUUAUCUUCGUAUAGAAAGAAUGAAGCUUCAACCUCAAGCGUUAACAAAUGCAGAGAAACCAACUUAAAAAAACUGACAUGCAGCGUCUUGCAUUUUAUAAGGUGAAGGGUUACACUAAAAAUGAUAUUAAAUAUGAUACUAAAUAUUUAAAUCAUGGUCAUAAUUACAUAAAUGAUAAUUAUGUUAGUGUAACGUAACUGCUUUGAUUUAUGAAAUAGAACAGUUUAGUUGACUAAAAAAAAAACUGCAAUAGUUAGACAUAAUAAAUAAAAGAAAACGUGAUAUCACAUGUGUCAUUAAAUAGAAUAUUAACCUCACAACAUAACUGAAACAUAUUAUGAGUAAUUCAUUGUUUUUUCAUUCAAUUUAUUAUAUUGUAAAUGAUAUUUAUGACUUAAGUUAUAUGGUCAGUUAUGUUGUUUAUUUUGUUUCAAGAUAUACAAAUAAACAUUUAAUCGAUUAUGUGAGAGGCCAAAUUUUUUUAAAACAAAUAAACAAAUGAUCAUAUUGUCAACAAACACAUACCAUAAUCUACUCAUACAUUUUUUAUAUUUUGAAGGUAUUUUAGAGAAAAAAUAUUUGAUCUUUGGUUUGAAAGAUAAAACUAAUAUUUCAUUCUUUAAUUCCUGAGAAAUUAUUUUGUUGAGAAAUUCUAAUAUUAUGGUAAUUAUAUGAAAAUAUUGAUAAAUGAUAUUUUUUAGGAAAAAUAAUUAUUUAGAAAAAGGGCAUUGCAAAAAUGUUAUAAGUUUUUUUUUAAUUAUAAAACUGUAAUUAAACUCAAAGAAUAUGGAAAAUAGUAUAUUUAAAUUUGAGAAGAAUGACACAUGUCGAAUGAAUAGAGCGCCACUUGUCAGAUUUUUAGAGUACAAGUUUGAGGAACCUUACUAUUUAGAAAAAGGGCAUUACAAAAAUGUUAUAAGUUUUUUUUUAAUUAUAAAACUGUAAUUAAACUCAAAGAAUAUGGAAAAUAGUAUAUUUAAAUUUGAGAAGAAUGACACAUGCGAAUGAAUAGAGCGCCACUUGUCAGAUUUUUAGAGUACAAGUUUGAGGAAACCUUACUUUAUUAUAUAAGAUUAUAGUUUCCAUUGUUCUUUUGUAUUUCUAAGAUGUUGGUCCGCACAGUUUGUACCCAACUGUAUUACAUUAACAAUGUAAACAAUAUUUCUAGGAACUAAUUGAGCUCAUUAAUAAGUUGAUAUUUUUUAUUAAAUAUUGAUCCUUGAAUUUAAAUUUAUUUUUAUGUAUAUAAAGUAAUCUAAACUAUAUUUUUAAAACUAAAUUGAUAUUGACAAGAAAGUAAUAUCUAACUUUUAAUAAUUUAGAUGCAGAAUUAAGGCAAAUAAAAUUAAAUAAAGCACUUUGGCUUAGGUUAUAUUUUUUUCUUUCACGUUUUCAAACAUGUAUGAAAAUUUUGAGACUCAAUUUCUCCUCUAAAGCAACUUGGGACUCUCUCAGGCCUGGAUAAAAAAACCAUAACCUAAUAUUGCAAAUUCUAUCAUGUUCAAAGGUGUGACACCGAGGCAAGUUUGGUGUCAAAAUAUUAGAACGCAUCUUAACAUGUCACUCGGCUCUAAGCCUCAAGCAGAUUAGGGUUUGUAAAUCUCGAUCCACUGUUGUUUCUCAGCAUUGCCACUUGGAACUCAUCUGAAGAGCUAUUGAUCAAAACCAUCCAAGAUACGAAAACUUUACGGAAGAAUUUAUGCUAUUUUAUACCAAUAUAUUCCACUUACUUUAAAUUCUCAUGAAUAAUCAAGUACGUAGUGCUACUACUAGUUUGACUUCCCAAACCAUUUUAUGUUAAUUAAGAUCUGUUGAAAGAAAUGAAGAUAAAAAAAUAUAUUCCUAUAAACUAGUUAUGAAUACAAUUUUACAAAUUGGUAGCCCUAAGCCAGUAAGGGAACUAGAGAAUUUAAGGGGAGGUAAAUGUAAAAUGGGAUUAUUACUUUCAAUUUUUAUGAGACAAACUAUAGAAUCUCAUAUGUAUAGGAUGGUGUCCUGCAUGUGCAUAUCUGCUGAUGGUCUGUUCCUGAGAUCAUAUAAGGGAUUAGUUUUAUGACACAAACUGUCUCACACACCAUAUUGUGUUCUUUAGGGUUGGUUAAUUUUUAUAUCAUCUGUCAAGAAAUAAGAACACAAAAAAAAAACACGUUUCAGCAGAGAUAUUAGGUUUUCUUGUUGACACAGAGAAAGGUGUAUAUAGCAAAUUCAACACUAACCUUGAUGAGGAUCUUCGUGUACAAAGAAACUAGCAGCGACUAUCAAAUAGCAAAGAAUGAGCAUCAAUCUUUUGAAGUAAUUCGAUGUCCCUUCCUGCAUUACAACAAACACAGCUUCAUGCAAGAAAAACUCAAGAAUGCAUGGUUUCGUGAUUAGCGAUCAUGAAGAUAAAAUCAACAUUGGUUUCAUAAUUAGCUUCAAGAUUAACUAACUGGAGAAAGAAAGCUACAACAAUAACAGUUAUGAGCAGAGUAGCCGUCUCAAAUAGCUGGAGAUUUAGAUCCAUUUGUGCACCCAUCAUCCAUCCGAUCACCACACAAAAAGGAACCUAAAUCCAAUUAAACUAUCAGACCAAAUCUUUUAGAGAAUGUUGAGUACUAGACCCAAGUUCACAUAUCAUAUACAUACCGCGAACAUAGAAAUCUGAAUGGAGGAUCCAAUAGCCACUCCCAAAGACAGAUCCUGUAGAGGAGAAUAAUAAAUUUAUAACUAAAGAAAAGAAGCAAAGACAUCAAAAUGAAAGAGACUUGUUUACGUACCAGCUUGUCUUUCAUGGCAAACAUAAUCGCACCUGCAUGCUCAGCCGCAUUCCCAACUAUAGGAAGCAAGAUGACACUGAUAAAAGAGAUUGGUAUCUUCCAUGAGACCGAAGUACCCUAUUACAGAUUCAAAAACAACAUAACACAAGAUGACAACGUAAUAAUAUAAGAUCUUCUUAAGAAUGAAAUACAGGGUCUUUAGUUACCUCUAUGGCAUCGACAAGAUAGCCCGAAAGAAGAGAGACCCAAGCCGUAAAGAUUGAAAGCCAGAUGAUAGCUUCCCACUUGGAGAUCUCAGGAUCUUCAUCAUCGUUUGAAGUUUCUUCGUUCUGGUUAGUUUUCUAUAAUUUACAGCAGAGAUAAGUUUUAAGUAGAACUGGCAAGAAUCAUUUAGAUGAUGAAAGUGGUUGUAACUUGUAAGAAACAAUUUUAUAUAUGUAGUUAACUUAAAAGACAAGGAACCUCGGUAUAAAAACUUGGCUGGCUCUUUAACUGGAAAAAGAGAUAAGCUGCAUAGGCAACGAGCAUUAUACAACUGAUAAAUCUCGACAGAGCAAGCUCUGAUGAUCCAGCAUGAACCUCGCUGUGCGUGUAAUGAAGAAAUGUGGGGAAGAGUAGUCCCAUGACUGCCAUUAAAAGCAUGCCCGAACUCACAACUGCAUUCCUCUGUAUGGUAGAAGAAAUAAGAUAAGAAACAAGAAGAAUUGAACUAAACAGAAAAAAGAAAAGAAAGAAUGAUAUGCAAACUUUGUCAAAGACUUGAUCUUUCCCGGGAAACACAAGGCCGCCACAGAAAAAAGCGCAGCCAAGUACAAGCAAAAUGUUAGAAAGAAUCGAGCCAAGCAGCGUCAACUGUACAACGCGUAUCAUUCCAUUUUUAAGAGCGAUAAUCGAUAUGAUCAGCUCAAUCACGUUUCCAAAUGUAGCAUUGAGGAGACCUCCAACUGUCAAAAUUGUCUAGCGCGUCACAAAUAUAUUAGGAGAAAAAAAAAGAGAGUAACGGAAGAAACCAAGUCAUACCAGUUGCGCCUGUGUAGCAAGACAAUUGCCUGUUACAAAACUAAACGGUUAGUGUUUGAUGAUAUGGUAAUUAAAGAGUCACAAGUGUGAGGAACAACUUACUCUGUGGCAUAUCCGAGACGUUCAGCUAAUGGUGUGAUACCUACUAAGCUUAGUAAGAAGAACCACCCCUGAGCCACAACAAGAAUCGUUUCUUGAGACUAAACAAGAAGAAACAAAACUAAUUAUGAUAAGUACCUGAGACUACAACUGCUCUCACCUUAUUAUCUGUCAAGUAGUGGACUAGUAUUGCUAGAGGACCGAAAGGCAACAAAAGAUUUAGUUUAUUCGAUAAAAUGACGAUCUUGAAGCUCUGGACCACACUGUUCCUAGGCGCUUUAGCUCUGCGUUCUCGAAGUGAUCCUUGCUCCAUCAAAGAAGCUGCAUUUGUUUGUGGGGAAUCUGUUUCUUGUUCCAAAAGGCUUUUAAGCUCAACUUCAUUAACAAGCCCCAUCUGUUUACGAUAAUAAUUUAGUUCUUAAGCUGAUAAUGAGGAGCCAAAUAACUGAGACAAGACGUGAACGUGGACUAACUUACUUCUACCUUCGCCUGCAUAAAAGCUGGCACCUUACACCACCUUAUAGACUUGAAGAAGUUGCUGAACAUCAAAUAUAGCUCCAUAUACAUGAGAUUUGUGAUCUCAUUGAUCUGUAUAUCGAGUUCUUAGAAAGUCUAGUCCUUGUUAACCUUAACUAUUCCUUAAGAGUGUAUGGCAUGUGACACAUGAUUACAAGCACAAUAAGCAUCCACUCACUCGUUGCUUGGGGGAGAAGUUACAACAGAUGGUCUUUGAAUUGUUUAUGGAACUCCAGUAUUGAAGUAUUAAAAGGUUUCCAUUUCUUUAGUUUCUUUGUUCCUUAAAGGUAUGACACUGAAGCACGAUUCCAUACCUUGAAGCUCAAACUUGUUUUGCAGCUUAAGGUUGCCGAAUGUCGACUCAAUGCUGCUUUUGUUGAUCCACAUUUUCAACAAAUCCAUCUGGAACUCAUCUUCUUACGAACUAUGAUAAAUAUUUGCAGAAGAAAUUCUGCAAUCUUAUGCCAAAUAUGGCUCACAAUAUUGUUUUGAGUAAGACUUAACUAUAACUAGUGUCAUCUUGUUUUUUACCAUUAAAUGUAUGAAUACAACCGUCCAUAAACUGUUCAAAGAAAAUCCUCUAUAUAUUAGAGGAUAAACAAGCAUACUUAGAAAAGAAGAGACACUCCAAUCUUGAAUCUUCCCAUCAUAGUUAUCAAGGUAAUUUUACAAAUUUGUAACCCUAUAAGCCCCUAAGGGAAGGUAAAACCGUAAAAUGGAGCUACUUUCAAAUGUUAUGAAACAAACUCUAGAAUCUCAAAUGUACAUGUAAGAUGAUGUGUUCCUGAGAUCUUCAGGCUUUAGUUUUAGGAUACAAACUUUUUAUGUUCUUUUGGGUUGAUUUAUAUAUCAUCUGUCAAAAAAUAAGAAGACAAAAACAGGUUUCAACAGAGAGUUGACACAGAGAAAGGAAUAUAUAUAGCAAAUUCAACACUAACCUUGAUGAGGAUCUUCGUGUACAAAGAAACUAGCGGCGACUAUCAAAUAGCAAAGAAUGAGCAUCAAUCCUUUGAAGUAAUUCGAUGUUCCUUCCUGCAUAAAAACACCACACACAAAGACAUUUAACAACUUUGAAGAGAGAGAUAUACUCGAGAUUGGUUUCGUAAUUAGCUUCAAGAUUUACCUGGAGAAAGAAAGCUACAACAAUAACAGUUAUGAACAGAGUAGCCGUCUCAAAUAGCUGGAAAUUUAGGUCCAUUUGGGCACCCAUCAUCCAUCCGAUAACCACGCAAAAAGGAACCUAAAUCCAAUCAAACUAUCAGACAAAAUCUUUUAGAGAAUGUUCAGUACUAGACCCAAGUUCACAUUUCAUAUACAUACCGCGAACAUAGAAAUCUGAAUGGAGGAUCCAAUAGCCACUCCCAAAGACAGAUCCUGUAGAGGAGAAUAAUAAAGUUAGAACCUAAAGAAGAGAAUCAAAGACAUCAAAACGCAAGAGACUUGUCUGUGUACCAGCUUGUCUUUCAUGGCAAACAUGAUGGCACCUGCAUGCUCGGCCGCAUUCCCAACUAUAGGAAGUAAGAUGACACUGAUAAAAGAGAUUGGUAUCUUCCAUGAGACUGAAGCACCCUAUUACAGAUUGAAAAACAAUAAUACAAAACCAUAAGUCAAACUCAUAAACUAGCAUUACAAUGUUGUCCUGAUCAUAUGGAAAUGAAUAAACAGGCCAAGUUAAUACACGUAAGAUCUUUGUUCGAAAUACUAAGAUAGAAAAAAAAGCAGGUUGCUAUUCACCUCUAUGGCAUCAACAAGAUAGCCGGAAAGAAGAGAGACCCAAGCCGUCAAGAUUGAAAGCCAGAUAAUAGCUUCCCACUUGGAGAUCUCAGGAUCUUCAUCAUCGUCUGAAGUUUCUUCGUUCUGGUUAGUUUCCUACAAAUUAACAAUGUUUACCAAACAGCUGAGAUCAGUCCAAUUAGAAGAGAAAGAUAGCAACCACUCGGCUUUAUAAAACAGAAAUUCGACAGACCCCGUAAAACUGGCACGAAUAUUCUGUGGUCAUGGAUAUACUGGUGAAAACUCGAAAAUGAAAAAAAACAAAUGUUGAAACAAUUGUUCUAUUUAUAAUUAUCUUAGUCUAUCGUUUCCAGGCUUUUUGUAAGAAAAAACGAAAGUCAACCGAAGGUCAAAGACAACAAACCUCGGUGAGAGGGGUAUAAGAGCUCGGCUGGCUCUUUAACUGGAAAAAGAGGUAAGCAGCAUAGGCAACGAGCAUUAUGCAACUGCUGAAUCUUGAGAGAGCAAGCUCUGAUGACCCAGCAUGAACCUCACUGUGCGUGUAAUGAAGAACUGCGGGGAAGAGUAGUCCCAUGACAGCCAUCAAAAGCAAUCCCGAAUUCACAACAGCAUUACCCUGCAUUGCAGAAUAAAUAAGCUCAGAAACAUGGUAUAAAUUACAGAACAACAGGGACAAUUACAUUGAAAAAAAGAAGAGAACAAGUGAUGAUAUUCCUACUUUGUCAAAGACUUGCUCUUUCUGGGAAAAUACAAGCCCGCCACAAAAGAAGGCGCAGCCAAGUACAAGUAACAUGUUAGAAAGUAUCGAGCCGAGCAAUGUCAGCUGUACAACACGUAUCAUUCCACUUUUAAGAGCGAAAAUCGAUAUGAUCAGCUCUGUCACGUUUCCAAAUGUAGCGUUUAGGAGACCUCCAACUGUUAAAUUUGUAAACAGCGUCAAAAAGAUAUCAGGAGAAAACAAAGUAAACCCGCAAUAGAAUGGCGAUCAGAAGAAACCAAGUCAUACCAGUUGAACCAGUGUAACAAGCUAAUUGCCUGUCACAAAAUAAACGGUUACUUAUAGAUAAGCCUUGCUGAUAGAAUGAUAACAUUGUAACUUAUAGAGUUACAAGUGCGAGCAACAGCUUACUCGGUGGCAUAUCCGAGACGUUCAGCUAAUGGUGUGAUGCCUACUAAGCUCAAUAAGAAGAUCCAUCCCUGAGCCACAAGAAGAAUCAUUUCUUGGGAAAUAACAGGAAGAAAUGAAACUGCUAUGAAUAGUACCCAAAAAGUACAACUGCUCACCUUAUUAUCUGUCAAGUAAUGGAGUAGUAUUGCCAGAGGACCAAAAGGCAACAAAAGAUUAAGUUUAUUCGAUAAAAUCACAAUCUUGAAGCUCUGGAGCACACUGUUAUUAGGUGUUUUAGUUGAGCAUUCUCGAAAACUUGCAGAAAGUGAUCCUUGUUCCAUCAAGGAAGCUGCUUUUCUUUCUGGGGAAUCAGUAUCUCGUCUAAAAAGGCUUUUGUGCUCAACAUCAUUAACCAACCCCAUCUGUUCAAAGUUGUAAUCUUUCCAUUAAGCUGACAAUGAAGAGCCAUAUAAUCAAAGAUAAUACAUGAUCGAUCAUGAACAAACUUACUUCUACCUGGGCCUGAAUAAGAGCUGGCACUUUACAACAACCCAUAGACUUGUGCUAAGAAAACAUGAAAACGAGGAUACACUACAAUAUCGUCUUCUUCUGGAAACCUGGAGAUUGGAAAUGCUUAGGAGAUCAAUCAUCAGUAUCAAAGAGCAUUCCGUUAUACAGUAUAUAAACCACAACCAAAUGUGAAAACAAGAAUCCAGAACAAGCUUGCACGAUUCAACUGAAAAUGUGUUAAUCUAAGCUUAAUCUUUCCAUGAAAUCAGAGCCCAAUCAAAUGACUUGAUAUUUGAAAAACACAAACCCAAUUCCAUCCAAUAUCAAAACCCUAAAACCAGAUAUAAACUACCAAGAAUCAAAUAGAAGACCUAAAGAUGAUCGGAGGGAUCAACGAAACGGUGAAGAGAGAUUCGAAAGUUUUAGUACCUAAGAAGAAGUCAACCAAUGGUCAGAGAAGAAAGACUUGAACAAGUUGCAGCAGAAAUCCCACAAAAAUAAACACUUUGAUAUCUUCUUCUUCUUCUUCGGAGAUUUGUGAUCCCAAUGGUCUGUUCUUUUUUAUUGAGAGAUGAUACUAAAGAAUUUGGGAGAUGUCAGUAAACAAGUGCGUGAUCGAGAGGAACUUUCCUUCUUCUACUCAUUUUUAAAGACAUGUUUCGAUUUUUUAUUUUCUUCUUUCAAAUAAUUUAUGAAACUAGUUAAUUGAAUUUAUUUAGACUUAGAAAAGAAAAAAGACUAUUGGAACUUUAUCUAAUUUCCGAUUUUUAAAAAAUAUUUGGACUCAAUAUUGUUACUUUCUAAUGUUAUGACUAAUGAAUAUUGAAAUAUAUGUGAACUGUGAAUUACUGUGAAGAUUUAAAUAUAGGAGAAAAAAAAGAGCAAUUGCGGUCGAUAAAUUUUAUUUUAAUAUCAGUUUUUAGUUAAAACAUAGUGGUCCUAAACAUGACGUGUUACCAUAGUCCAGAAUAAAUUAACUAUCGACCGCAUCAAGUAAUCCCAAUUUUUUUAAAACUUUUUUGUUAAGGCAAUUUUUUUAUCAUUGAUUCGAUCCCUUUCGUUUCUGGACUUAAAUAAAUCGUUUAUAAUUUCUUAAAAUUUUCCUUUCAAAAGACGACCAAAAAAAAAAAAAAAUCCUUUCAAAAAAUAUCAUAAACUGAUCAAUUACUAGACCGAACCAAAUCAAAAUAAUUAGACCAAAACCAAAUUUUCUAUAAAAACAUUUAGGGUGUGUGUAGAAGUCAUUUUCAGAGUAAUUAAGAAUGCUUUAAUUUGCGAGUUUUAUUAGUGGAAGUAUUGCUAAAAAUGCACGGAUCUACUAGUCUACUACUAUCUACAGAUAUGAUUACAUAGUCGUCUGGUUGUUCUCUUGUGGACAACUAAAUUUGCACCAUAACAUUUUACAGAUUUUACACCGUUGAUGAUAAAUAAGAAGGAAGAAAAUGAUUACACUAAUGCAUGCUAAGCCAUACAACAAACAUUUUUUUUUUGUAUUAUUAUAUCAAAACGAACACGGACCAAUCUGUUUGAUUUGUAUUGGUCUGGUCGAUAACCCAUACAGAUUAACCAACAAAUCAAUACAGAACUGAUACAAUUAUACAGAUCAAUAAUUAUUGGAUGACCACGUCCCACAGAUACAAUUCUUUCUCCGGAACUCCUAAAGUAAACGUAACUAAACCGGAUUCCGGUUCAUACCGGUACUCCACGUCGUCUGAAUCCACCGUAACACUUCGUGGUCGUCGAACGGACGAGUAAACACCAACCAAACCACUGCCUCGAAGUUUCAUCCUAACGACAAAUUUAGUCCCCUCGUCAUCGUAUCUUAAACUCACAAUGGCUCCUCCAGAAUUAAACAUCUCCAUAAGCCCCACCGGUGCAAAUUUACUUCCAUCGGAAAAUUCCUUCACCGGAACCACCGUGAAAACUUCGUAUUCACGUGGCAUCAAUGUCACUGGUAAAGAUGUAUCUUUUGGGAGAUACACUAACUCUCCUGAUAGAAAAGGAAAAAAAAAGUGAAGGUUUUAGUAUAAUCAGAGUAAUUUAGACUGAUGUUUGAGUUUGUGUACUACCUCUGAGAUGGGAAUAGACAAUGGAAUCUCCUGUCCAUUCAAAGGCUGCUACUUUAUGAAGAUAAUGAACAUCAUUGGUUCGGACACAACCAGAAAUGGUCCCAGGUUCUUGGUCAUGGAUUAGGUAUCUCUUCUCGUUCUUACACCAUCCAGCGCCUUGGCAGUUGAAAACUCCAAUAACGCCAGUGAAUUCGUUCAGGUUCCAUAUUUUCAGAAGACUUGCAAAGUAUAAUACAACAGUUAGUUAAGAUUUAAGCUUUCUUCUCUUCCAAGUAAAGGAAAACGAGAUACCUUUUAUUGUCUCUGACUGGAUCACUGAAGAAGCAAUCACUGGUUGGUCUUCCGGGAAGCUUUGCUCUGAGUAUGGAACCGUCUCGAAGUACUAGCUUUCUUAAAAGGUUGAAGUCAUGUUGUCCCGGUUUGUCGCUGUUUAACAAGUUUGAAUGGAUCUAGAGUUACUUACUUGCAGCUCAUUUUACUAUGAUAAUUUGUUUGUCAAAUGGUAUUGAAUCUUGUGAUUACCUGACAUAUAUGGCACAUCCUCCAACCGCGCGAGCUGCAGCAUGAUAUUCAGCCAUCGGAUGCAAACUCUGCAAUGAGAAACAGAUAGAUUCAUUCACAAGUUCAGAAAAGUUUGUUAAAGCAAUUCAACGUACAUGAAACAUGUCCCAGUCCGGCUGCAUAAACUCUCCAAGGAAAAGUGUGUUAUAUGCAACAGAAGCAAUGUGGAUCGUGUGUGAAGCGGGGUCUCUAGGCCAGAAAUCGUCUGAUGCUCUUAUAACAGCAGUCUUUUUUGCGCUAAAGUAUCAUUACAAGAAGAAAUUAGAAGGGAUAGUAAUAAUUAUGGAUAAAUAUCAAUGAGAACAACGUUGUAGGUCCAGAAGCUAACCUGUAGAGACCAUCUGUGUUAUGACUCAUGCAAGAGAUAAUACCAUUGUCAGGGAAGUUUCUUGAAAUAGAAGCUUCCAAAGCCUGGUGAUACUUCUUUGCAAGUUUGACACGACCACCAUGUCCAGCUCCAAGAGUUUCAAGAAUGUUUUGGACGUCUACUUUGACACCAUCGACCCCAACGGAUGCAAGGUAUGAGUGAAGAUCAUUAUAGAAGCUAAAGACUUUCUCAGGAUUCACCAAACCAAGUCCAUUCUUAGUUAUGCUUUCUAAACAUCCACAAUUCUCACUGGACAUAACUCCUGGUGAAGAAACUGGAUACGCAACCUUGGAUUCGUAGUGUUCCAUACCAGAAACACCUGGUUUGACUCCUCCCCAAUAUCCUGUUAUCGCAUGCCAAACAUAAACAUACUUGAGCGAAUUAUUACUCUUAAUGUCUGUGAUAACAUGUCCAAGACUCAAUGAAGGGUCAUCCACCCGGUGGCCUUCUUUGCCAUCCUUUUGAAACUUAUGAUUCUCCUUGAUGUGAGUUAACCGGUUUGCAAAACUGAAGGUAAGCACAAAAGAUAAAGAGUGGUUUAUUAAGACUAAAGAAAGAACUUAAAUCAGAAUUAAGAGAGCUUAAUUACUUACUUGGCAGCAUUAUCAGCGUUGAAUUCUACACUGGUCUCAUCCAUGCCAACAGAUUGCCAUCCAUCAUCAAUUAUGACAAACUUUGGGGUAACCCCACCAGCUUUGAGGCUACAGAGAAUCAGUGCAGGUUUGGUUAAGUCACAGU